GGAAGUAGAAGAGUUUUUCUGUGGGGUACAGGUGGGUUUUUUUUUUUUUAAGCCAGGGGGUGUAGCUGGGGGUGGGUAUCAUAAGGUCCAGCAUCACAAGGUUGGGUUAUCAGUUAAAGCAGGAAUGAUUUAGGCAGGAACAAUGGUGGAAUGUUGCAAAGUUGGUUAAUUGGGCUCUACGGGAGCAGCCAUUUUCCUUCUUUUUGUGGUUUUUCUGUUAUUUCAGAUUCUCUGGCUCCAGGAGGCCAUCCAGAGGAUACGUGUGGGUCAUAGAGGUCACCAUGGCCUAACUGUGGUACAGCCCAUGGUGCAGUCAGUUUAAAAACCUUACACCGACCUCAGGAGAUCUGCCUGCCUUGACCUUCUAAAGUGCUGGGAUUACAGGUGUGAGCUACUGCAUCCUGCCUGUUUUACUGUCAUGCUGGCUGGAGUGCAAUGGCGAAAUCUCAGCUCACUAUAACCUCUGCCUCCCGGGUUCAAGAGAUUCUCCUGCCUCAGCCUCCUGAGUAGCUGUGAUUAAUGCGCAUACCACCACAACUGGCGGCUUUUUUGUAUUCUUAGUAGAGAUGGGGUUUUACUAUGUUGGCCAAACUGGUUUCGAGCUCCUGACCUCGUAAUCCACCUGCCUUGGCCUCUCAAAGUGCUGGGAUUACAGAUGUGAGGCACCACACCUGGCCACAGUGAACUAUUAUUUAGGCAUUAAAAAUGUAAUACUGAUAAAUGUUCAUGGAUUGCAAAUAUAGAUUGCAAAUGACUGAAGCAGAGCUGAUUACCAUAGUUUUGGGGAAAGCUCUGAGCCAGCAAAGUACAGGGACCCUGAGAAAUUGAGAAAUGCACUUGAUGUGAGUCACCGGCAGCACGCACACAUCACAGUUGCACUGAAACUAGACAAACCGAAGGGAAGGGACAUGGUGUGCCACAGGCAUCAGCUAUAGAAUCCAUUUCCGAUUUGUCCCUUGCAAAUUUCUCCAAUAACAGACUUAAAAAUUUUUUUCUAUAAGAAUUGAAAGACCUACUUACCCUGACCUUGGGUUGACUGUUCCAAUGGAACACUUCCAAAUCUUCAAACUGAUAUCCCCAAUACCAUGGUGGUAGAGCAGGCCUUCAUAAGUUGACUCCUGAAAAUUUACUACUCCCAGACCUACUUCUCAAAGAUGCUGGUUUGAUUAAGGUAAAUUUAUCAAUGGGAUAUAAGACAUUUACAUAAAUCAAAAAUCUUCCAGCAGUGAUGGCCCAAAUUUGGAUGAGUCCAGAGCUCAAUGAUAUGGACUCUAACUAUCUAUAUCUGAAGAAGCUUAGACAAGCCAAGACAGCCAAAGUUCCCAUGAGACGAGGUUCUUCUGGCUUCGAUUUCCCUGCUGGAGCUGUGCAAGCCUAGUAUAUUCUCAACGUGCUUAAACACAUCAGAGACAGGGUUUCAUCAUGCUGGCCAGCGUGGUCUCGAACUCCUGACCUCAAGUGAUCUGUCUACCUCGGCCUCCCAGAGUGCUGUGAUUACAGGCAUGAGCCACCACACCUGGACCUAAGCCUACUUUUUUUUGAUGAGGACAGAGGAGAAUGCAUCUGCCAGAUGAAUGGCCACAUGUCAUGACCUCAGGCCACAUUAAAUCUGCUUAAGGACCCUUUGGGUCUUUUAAGACUGGCUGUAAUCUCAGUCAUUCUCUCUGGAGAACAUUAUUGUUGUCUUGGGGGGGCAGUUUCUAUAGCUUCUACUUUGCCUUCCGUACUAGGAGAGCUCAUAGUAGGCCAAGGAACGGAUGGAAGAGACUACCAGGUAAGCCUAUGGCAAUUUGACCCUUGGAUAUUGGGGAAAUGACCCUUGGGUGGGUCCUGGAAACCAGUGCACUACUGCGCGUCAGCCCAAGGCCAGAAUUCCUGGUCUCACAUGUGUCCCUCUCUAACAGUGAGUGGGCAUGAUGCCACCUUGGGUUACUGUGUAUCAACAUCAACUUGGACUCUGAAACAAAAAGUCUUGGGAUGUUUGACCCUUCCCCUUUCUCUGGUGUCCUCUUUCCUGAGUAAGUGACUGCAUGUCCCUCUGAAAGAACCGGGAGACUCAUUACCAAGUACAUUUCCUGUGAUUGUUUAGCAUUCUUCUCUCCGGGGACUCAGGCUUUCUAUUCAUCAAUGGGUUCUGGGCCUAAAAAUCGUCUUGGGUCUAGAAACAGAAAAAUUGAUGAUGACUGUUUUGGAGGCAACUGCCCUCAGCCUCCAGCUCAUCCAUCCUUGAUUUCUUUUGUUUGUGCAGAUUGAUUUGUGUCCCAUGGCUGCCCAUCUACUUGGCUUCUAGGGACACUGUGUUCUGUUAAUCCUUUCUCUAACUCUCUGUGGGUCAGUGUCCCUGGCUGCCCUCUGACCUGCCACUCACUGUGAUCAUUGCAUCCACCUGGCUUUUGACAGUGACAUGCUUUUGACAGUGACAUGACCUGGCCUCUGUUUGUGGAGGUGGGGGGCAGCUAACUCACCAUCCCUUUCCUAUCAGUGACUCAGUUCUGUGCCAGCAUGCACUGCAGAGCCAUCAUUGGUCUCCUGAGUGUCAUGGAGCAUCUUGCCCCAGCAAGAUCCUUAGUGCUUGUGAGAACGGGGCAUCCUUCGUGAUUCUCCCAUAACAGAGAUCACACCAGCAUGCUCAUUUCUCUGAGCUUUCAUUCCCCCUGGCCACCAUCUGGCAUGGUGGCUCUGGCACUGUUACCUCUCUUACUGUGGACCACUGAUUUUUUCAUGCAUCCAGGGUGUGUGUGUCCCAUCUCCCAGAUCCUUGCCAGUGCGUUAAAUCCUGUAUCCCAGAAGGGGGCUCCCAAACCAAUAAAUCCUCAUCCAACCUUGAGUUCUGACUUCCUGGAUAAUGCACCCUCAGAAUCCAGCCUCAGUGGUUCUCCCAGCUUAUGAUACUACAUGAAGGUGAGGUGCUGCUUCUCCUCAGGGUACAUUUCUUUCUCUUUAUAGCAGACCCAGCACAUCCCCAGCCCUGUGAGAUCGAGACUUAACCCUGCUUCUUGGCUCAGUGGCAAGAAGGGGAAAAGGGACAGAUUCUGAAUGGGAAAGGGGAGGCCUGUUAUCUUGUGGAAAGAAGCCCUUGUGUAGUUUCCAAGCAAGUGGGGAGUGCUAGCCUUACAGAGAGAGGUGAGCCACGUGGAAGGCUCAGAAGCUUUAGGGAAAUCUGGAGAUGCAAGAGUCUGGGGUGCAUGAACCCAGAUGUCCUCAUCCCAUGUAUCAGGGUCCUGUUGUUUCUUAGGCACUGCCCAACCUUGAUGGAGGAGAUCUGCCUUGCUGCUCAACCUUCUGCUGAACUCAAUUACUAUUAUAAUGUGAAUCCCAAGUCUGGGUUAGCCUUCUCUGCCCCUCCACUAAAGGAGAGGAGACUCUCUAUAUGCUACCAAGGAGGAUCUCCAGCUUUCACACUUGGUCUUGUUUUCCUUUUAACAUGUUUAUUGUGAUAUAAUUCACAAACCACACAUUCACCUAUUUAAAGUGUACAAUUUAAUGUUUUUUAGUGUAUUCACAUGAUUGUGCAAUCAUCACAACCACUUAAUUUAAAAACAUUUUCAUUUCCACUAAAAGAAAUCCCAUACCCAUUAACAGUCACUCCCGGUUCACUCCUUCCCCUACCCUGUGGCAACCAUUGAUCACUCCCUACCAUGUGGAUUUGCCUAUUCUGGACAUUGUAUGCAAAUAGAAUCAUAUAAUAUUUGGUUCUUGUGACUGCUUCUUUAACUGAACAUAAUGUUUUCAAGUUUCAUCCAUGUUGUGGCAUGUAUCAACACUUCAUUUCUUUUUAUUGUCAAAUAACACUCCAUUGUAUAAAUAUGCUACAGUCUGCUCAUUCAUUCAUCAGUUGAUGGACAUUUGAUUUCACUUUUUGGCUAUUAGUGAAUGAUAUUACCAUGAACGUUCAUGUACAAGUUUUUGUGUGGAUGUAUAUUUUUCAUUUCUCUUGGGUAUAUACCAAGAAUUGGGAUUGCUGGAUCAUAUGAUAAUUGUUUAGCAUUUUAAAGAACUGCCAAACUGUUUUUCAAAAUAGCAACCCACAGGCAAAAGUGGGAAGCAUUCCCCUUGAGGACGGGAACAAGACAAGGAUGCUCACUCUCACCUCUCCUAUUCAACAUAGUACUUGAAGUCUUAGCCGGAGCAAUCAGACAAGAGAAAGAAAUAAAAGGCAUCCAAAUAGAAAGAGAAGUCAAGCUAUUUCUCCUCAUUAAUGAUAUGAUUCUAUACAUAGAAAACCUUAGAGACUCCGCCAACAGGCUCUUGGAACUGAUAAACAACUUCAGUAAAGUUUCAGGAUACAAAAUCAUUGUACAAAAAUCAGUUGCAUUUCUAUACUAAUAACAUUCAAGCUGAGAGCCAAAUCGAGACUGCAAUCUGAUUUACAGUAGCUGCAGAAAAAUAAUAAAAUACCCAGGAAUACAUCUAACUAGGGAGGUUAAAGAUCUCCACAACGAGAAAUACAAAACAGUGCUGAAAAAAAUUAUAGUGACACAAAUGGAAAAUGUUUCACACUCAUGGACUGGAAGAACUGAUAUAAAAAUGGCCCUAGUGCCCAAAGCAGUUCACAGAUUCAAUGCUAUUCCUAUCAAACUACAAGUGUCAUUUCUCACAAAACUAGAAAAAACUAUUCUAAAAUUCACAUGGAACCAAAAAAAAAAAGAGCCUGAAUAGCCAAAGCAAUUUUAAGCAAAAAGAACAAAGCCAGAGGCAUCACACUACCUGACUUCAAAUUAUAUUAUGAGGCUACGGUAAUCAAAACGCUAUAGUAUAAUAUUAUACAAAAACCAGACAUGUAGAUCAAUGGAACAGAAUACAGAACCCAGAGAUAAACCCACAUAUCCAUAGCCAUCAGAUCUUUGGCAAAGCCAACAAAAAGAAGCAAUGAGGAAAGGACUUCCUAUUCAAUAAAUGAUACUGGGAUAGCUGGCUAGCCAUAUGCAGAAUGAAACUUAACUCCUACCUUUCACUAUAUACAAAAAUUAACUCAAGAUGGAUUAAAUAGUUACAUGUAAGAUCUCAAACUAUAAGAAUCCUAGAAGAAAACCUAGGAAACAUCAUUUGGGACAUCAGCCUUAAGUCCUCAAAAGCAAGUGAAACAAAACCAAAAAUUGACAAAUAGGAUCUAAUUAAACUAAAGAGCUUCUGCAGAGCAAAAGAAACUAUCAAAUAGCAAACAGGCUGGGCACAGUGGCUCAUGCCUGUGAUCCCAGCAUUUUGGGAGGCCGAAAUGAGUGGAUCACUUGAGGUCAGGAGUUCAAGACCAGCCUGGCCAACAUGGUGAAACGCUGUCUGUACGAAAAAUCAGCUGGGCAUGGUUACAGGUGGCUGUAGUCCCACCUACUUGGGAGACUGAGGCAGAAGAAUUGCUUGAACCGGCAGGCAGAGGUUGCAAUAAGCUGAGAUUGUGGCACUGCCCUCCAGUCUGGGCAACAGUGAGACUCUGUAUAUAAACAAAAACAAAAAACAGUAAACAGACAACCUACAGAUGGGAGAAAAUAUUUGCAACCUAUGCCUCUGACAAAGGUCUUACAUCCAGAAUCUGUAAGGAAUUUAAACAAUUGAUCAAGCAAAAACCAAAAUAACCCCAUUUAAAAAUGGGCAAAAGACACUUCUCAAAAGAAGACAUACAAGCAGCCAACAAACAUAUGAAAAAAUGCUCAUCAUUAAUCAUCAGAGAAAUGCAAAUCAAAACCACAAUGAGAUACCAUCCCAUACCAGUCAGAGUGGCUGUUACUAAGAAGUAAAAAGAUAACAGAUGCUGGUGAGGCUGCAGAGAAACAGGAAUGCUUAAUACACUCUUGGUGGGAAUGCACAUUAGUUCAGCCACUGUGGAAAGCAGUUUGGAGAUUUCUCAACAAACUUAAAAUAUAAAACAGUUAAAACUUAAACAUAAACCAUUUAACCAUUUAAAACUUAAACUAUUUGGUGCAGCAAUCUCAUUACUGGGCAUAUAUCCAAAGGGAAAUAAAUCAUUCUACCAAAAAGACACAUACACUCAUAUGUUCAUUGCUGCACUAUUCACAAUAGCAAAGAUGGAAUCAACCUAGGAAUCCAUCACUGGAUCAUUGAUGGACUGGAUAAAGAAAACGUGGUACAUAUACACCACGGAAUACUAUGCAGCCAUAAAAAAUAAUGAAAUUCAUUAAAAAGAAUGAAAUCAUGUCCUGUGCAGCAACAUGGAUAUUAGAGGCCAUUAUCAUAGAGGAAUUAAUGUAGGCACAGAAAACCAAAUACUGCCUCUUCUCACUUAUAAGUUGAAACUAGACAUUGAGUAUACAUGGACAUAAAGAUAGCAACGGGUCAUGUGAGGUGGCUCAUGCCUGCAAUCCCAGAGCUUUGGAAGUCCAAGGUGGGAGGAUUGCUUGAACCCAGGAGUUCAAGACCAGCCUGGACAAGAUAGCAAGAACCAAUCUCUACAAAAAAUAAAAACUUAGCUAGGCAUGGUAGUGCACACCUGUGGUCCCAGCUACUAAGGAGGCCGAGGGGGGAAGAUUGCUUGAGCCCAAGAGGUCGAGGCUGCAGUGAGCUGUGAUCCUACUACUGCAUUUUAGCCCAGGUGAGAAAGUGAGACUCUGCUUCAAAAAAAAAAGACAGAUGGAAAGAAAUAGAUGCUAGAGACUACUGGAGAGGGAAGGGAGAGAGGAGGGCAAGGGUUGAAAAACUAACUGUUGGGUACAAUGCUGUGUACCUGGGUCUUGGGAUCAAUUGUACCCCAAACCUCAGCAUCAUGCAAUAUAUCCAGGUAGUAAACCUGUACAUGUACCCUCUGAACCUAAAAUAGAAUUUGGAAGAAAAAAACACUUCAAAGCAGCAGCCCUGUAACAUUCCCCCCAUUGUGGAUGAGGGUUCCAAUCCCCCCGCAUCCUCAUCAAUGCUUGUUAUCGUCUGUCUUUUUGAGCACAGUCUCCUAGUGAGUGUGAUGUGGACUCCCAUUGCGGUUUUGAUUUGCAUUUCCCUAAUAACCAGUGAUAUUGAGCAUCUUUUCAUGUGUACAUUGAUUCAGGCCAUUUGUACAUCUUUUUAUUUUUGGCAAAACAUCUAUUUUAAUCCUUUGCUCAUUUCAAAUUUGAGCUGUUUUCUAUUAUUGAAUUGUAAGGGUUUUUAUGUAUACAUAGAGCUUUUUAGAUAAAGUCCCUUAUCAGAUAUACGACUUGCAAUUUUUUUUUCUCGUCAUAUGAGUUGCUUUUUCACUUUCUCAAUGGAGUCAUUUGGUGUGCAGGAGUUUUGAAUUUUGAUGAAGUCCAAUUUAUCUAUUUUUUUAUUUUGUCAUUUGUGCUUUUGCCAUCAUAUCUAAGAAGCCAUUGCCUACCCAACUUAUGUUUUCUCUGAAAGUUUUGUAGUUUCAGAUCUUGCAUUUGGGUCUGUGUUCCAUCUUGAGUUAAUUUUUGUAUACAGUAUGGGGCAAGAGUCCCAUCUGGUUCAUUUGAAUGUGGAUUUCCAGUUGCCUGGCGCCAUUUGUUGAAAAGACUAUUGUUUCACCAUGUAGCUGUCUUGGUCACACUCAGCUUUUAUUGGUCAGUUUUAAUCAUUUUCAGCUUUUCACUAUCUUUUUUCCAGAAUUGAACCGACCUUGGGAAUAACCAUCCGAUUCCACUGUCCUUAUAGUUAUGAUUUCAUCCAAAUUUCUUAAACAAUAUCAAUGCAAAAUUUCUAAAAUAUAAGCAAAAGGUCUUUAGCAGCACAUUAAAGAGAAUACAACCAAUUCAGGAUCACAGGAAUGCAAUUUAUCUCGUACUUAAAAAAUUCUGAUUAGUGUUUUUGUUGAAAAUGUAGUAAACUUUUUUUUUUUUUGAGAUGGAGUCUAGCUCUGUUCCCCAGGCUGGAGUGUGGGGGUGCAAUCUCGUCUCACUGCAACCUCUCCCUCCCAGGUUCAAGCAAUUCUCCCUGCCUCAGCCUCCCGAGCAGCUGGGAUUAUAGGCGCCCACCACCAUGCCCAGCUAAUUUUUUGUGUUUUUAGUAGAGCCGGGGUUUUGCCAUGUUUGCCAGGCUGGUCUCGAACUCCUGACCUCAGGCGAUCCCCCCACGUCAGCCUCCCAAAGUACUGGGAUUACAGGCAUGAGCCACCCCGCCCAGCCAAAAUUACAGUAACUUUAUAGAUUAAUUUGGGGAUAAUUGUUAGUUAAUAAAAUUAGGGCUUCUUCUACUCAGGAGGCUGAAGCAGGAGAAUCACUUGAACCCAGGAGGUGGAGGUUGCAGUGAACCAAGAUUGUGCCAUUGCACUCCAGUCUGGUCACAAGAGCGAAACUCCGUCUAAAACACAACAACAACAACAAAAACUAGGGCUUCUUGCUCCAAAACAGUGUAUCUUUUCUCUUCUGUUCAAACCUUACUUGACAACUUUUGUUUAUAUAUUUCUAAUAUCUUUGACUAAUCAUAGAGUGUACUUACACAAACCUAGAUGGUACAGCCUACUACACGCCUAGGCUGAAUGGUACAGCAGAUUGCUCCUAGGCUGCAAACCUGUACAGCGCGUGACUAUAAGCCCUGAGUGUAACAUUGCGGGAGCCUUAGAAAAUGUAAGGUGGGACCGGGCACAGUGGCUCACGCUUGUUAUCCCAGCACUUUGGGAGACUGGGUGGAUUACCUGAGGUCGAGAGUUCAAGAUCAGCCUGACCAACAUAGAGAAACCCUAUCUCUACUAAAAAUACAAAGUUAGCUGGUUGUGGUGGCGCAUGCCUGUAAUCCCAUCUGCUUGGGAGGCUGAGGCAGAAGAAUGGCUUGUGAAGCCAUUCUUGAGGCAGAAUAACGGGAGGUGGAGAUUGCGGUGAGUGAAUAUCGCACCAUUGCACUCCAGCCUGGGCAACAAGAGCAAAAUUCCAUCUCAAAAAAAAAAAAGUAAGGUGGCUCUUGUUUACCUAAUUAGUCCUGUGUGAGCCGGCACAGACUCUCCCCAGGUCUGUAUUCAGAGAUGGUGGGGGCAGUAGAGCUGAUCAUCUCAUCUCAUUCUGGACACACUCAGGAAGUAUGCAGGAGGUAGAAAUCCUAAGACCGAGCUCAUCAUGGCAAUACUUCUCCUCAUAGGUGACUGGUUCAAGGGAGCGUGUAUCCCUAUUCUGGCCAUGGGACUUGAGAAGAUGUCUCUGGGGCGACCUCUGUACAAUGAUCAGCAGCCCAUGUCCUGUCGACACAAUAUGUCUGUGCUUGCUGCAGUCAUCUCCCUGCCAGUCUCAGUAUGAAACCAACACAUGAAGCCAUGAAAGUCGCAGAAAUAAGAUGAUGCCCUGCUGGGCCUAGAGCUGCCCUCCUUGGGUCCUUCUUAUGUGAAAUAUUAAGCCCCUUAUUAUUCGUAUCAAUGCCAGUUAGGAUUUUCUACCCCUUGCUGCUGAAGACAUCCUAAGGACUGUUCUUAUAACUGGAUGUUAAGUGCAGCUAUUUCUGUUUCAGAUUCAGCUAGGUCAUCACUAUUCCAGAUGCCCACUUCUCUGACUCGCUGAAGGAGGAUCACUAUGGGGACUUGUAAAAGAGAUUUUGGAUCACCUGAGGUCAGGAGUUCAUGACCAGCCUGACCAACAUGGUGAAACCCUGUCUCUACUGAAAAUACAAAAUUUAGCCAGGCAUGGUCGUGGGCGCCUGUAAUCUCAGCUACUUGGGAGGCUGAGGCAGGAGAAUUGCUGGAACCAGGGAGGUGGAGGUUGCAGUGAGCUGAGAUGGCACUGUUGCACUCCAGCCUGGGCGACAACAGCGAGAUUCUGUCUCAAAAAAAAAAAAAAAAGAGAGAGAGAGAUUUCCAAAAAUCAGUUUUGUAACCUUAGGCCACAUGUCUAUGCAAGAGUAUCAAAGAGUUGAGGCAGUUAUCCAGGGAGUCUGAAAUCACAGAAGGUGUUUGGAGAGAGUGCUUUGCACUCUGUGACUUCCACCCACACUUCGUGGGGAAGGGAUGGAGAUGUCUCCUCCCUUUUCCUCACUUCCAACCCAGGGAGGGGAGCUUUAAUAGGAUCCCUUAAGGAGCUGGACAUUUAAUUCACAGAGCAUAAGGGCCAUGGUGGACUAAUGUCUGAUACAUGCCUAAAAAUUCUAAAGGGAAUGAGAACGUGGUUGUGGAUGGCCUGGACUCAUGAACAGAGUUCCACAGAGCAGGUGUAUACCUGGCCUUGUGACAGCUCCUGUGGGGUUAUUUUAGAUGCUGCCUCCUAUGGGCUAAAUUAUGUCUCUUCCCCCACUAAAUUCAUGUGUCAAAACCCAAAUCCUGUGACGUGUCUCUUCCUGGCCUGCAGAUGACCACCUUCUCAAUGUGUCCUCAUUUGGCCUUUCCUCGAUGUUGUGUGGAGAUAGAGUCCUGAUGUCUCUUCCUCGUCUUAAUAAGGACACCAGGCUUAUUGGAUUAGGUCCCCCGAGUAUAACUCAUUUAGCCUUAUUUACCUCCGAAAAGGCCCUAUCUCCAAACACGCUCACAUUGGGGGUUAGCGCUACAACCUAUGAAUUCUGAAGUGGUAAAACGCAGUCCAGGGCUGAGCCUGGUGGCAUACAUUUGUAAUGCCAGCACUUUGAGAGGCCUAGGUAGGAGGAUCGCUUGAGACCAGGAGUUCUAGACCAGCCUUGACAACAGAGCAAGACCUUACCUCUACAAAAAAUUUUAAAAAGUUUCUAGUCUGUGUGUCUGGUUAAUUAAUUUAAAAAUAAAAUUUAAAAAUGUAGCUGGGUGUGGUGGCACACUUGUAGUCCCAGCUACUCGGGAAGCUGAGGUGGGAGGAUCGCUUGAGAUCAGAAACUGGAGGCUGCAGUAAGCUAUGAUCGCACCACUGCACUUCAGCCUAGGCAACAGAGCAAGACUUUGUCUCUAAAAAAACAAAACAUAGAAGAAAACACCAAUGCAGUAUCACAAAAGCUAAGAGAAGGAACCCCCCACUUUUUUUUUUCUGAGAUGGAGUCUUGCUCUGUCGCCCAGGCUGGAAUGCAGUGGCGAGAUCUUGGCUCACUGCAACCUCCGCCUCCUGAGUUCAAGCCUCAGCCUCCCAAGUAGCUGGAACUACAGGCUCGUGCUGCCACACCCGGCUAAUUUUUUUGUAUUUUUAGUAGAGGUGGGGUUUUACCAUGUUAGCCAGGAUGAUCUCGAUCUCCUGACCUUGUUAUCCACCCACCUCGGCCUCCCAAAGUGCUGGAAUUACAGACAUGAGCCACCAUGGAGUGGGCACAUUUUUACGCUACCCCUGAGACAGGGAUUCUCAAAUGUGGAAGUGAUUUACAUUUGGGGCGGAUCAUUCUUUGUGCUGGGGGCAGCUCCGUGCAUUAUAGGAUGUUUAGCAGCUCUUCCCUGGCCUCUUCCCACUAGAUGCCAUAAAACACCCCACGCUACCCAGUUGUAACAACAGCAAUGUCUCUGGACAUGACCAAAUGUCCUCCUGGGGGCAGAAUUGCCCCUGCUUGACAGCCACUGUCUUAUGGAAGUGGAGGUUAAGAAACAGGGAGGUUGGGGAGGGAUAACAUGGGGAUAAAUGCCAGAUAUAGGUGACAGGGGAUGGAGGCAGCAAAACACCUUGCCGUGUGUGUACCUAUGCAACAAUCUUGCAUGAUCUGCACAUGUACCCCAAGAACCUAAAGUACAAUUUAAAAAGAAAAGGAAAUAGAGGUUUGGGCUUUACUUUUAACUCCAUGUUUUUGCAGUGUGUAAAUUUUUUGCAGAAUACAAGUAUUUCUUCUGUUAAAAAAAAUUAGGAAAAAAAAGUCAGGGGUAACGAAUGAGUCAAAUGCGGUAAGCAUUUGCAGGUGACCCAGAGGUGCUGUUGGUGACCUGUGACAUGUUCAGGGGUAUGGUGGGAAGAUGACACCAGGUGACCACGAUUCAAAAGGGCCCGGGGGGAGAGAGGAAGCUCCCCUUGAGUGGUGGAGGCCCAGCAUUCGACAAGGAGAGAAGUGAGGAAAAAACAGAAAUAAAUUCAUGGUCAUAAAGUUUCUCAAAUCUUUAAAAUCUCAAAGAAAGGCUUUUCUCAAUUUGCUUUAUGUAAGACAAUUCUGGAAACAUCUGAAGUUUGGCAGCAAUUACAGGAGAAUUUGGCUCUGCAAAUCCCAGUAGCUAGUUGUACUAGUUUGCCAGAGCCACAGACUGGGGGCGUUAAACAGGACCCUUCCUUCACAGUUCUGGGGGCUGGAAUUCCGAAAUCCUGGUGCGGGCAGCGUCGAUUCCUCCCGGGGCCCCUCUCCUCGGCGUGUGGAUGCCGUCUUCUCCCUGUGUUCCCACCUGUCCUCCGUCUGUGUGUCUUUGUGUCCUGAUUUCCUUUUCUCAUAAGGACACUAGUCAGAUUAGAUUAAGUCCCAGCCUCAGGGCCUCAUUUUAACUUAAUUACCUUUUUUUUUUUUUUUGGAAACGGAGUCUUGCUCUUUGACCCAGGCUGGAGUGCAGUGGCACCAUCUCACUGCAGCCUCCGCCUCGAGGGUUCCAGCCAUUCUCCUGUCUCAGCCUCCCGAGUAGCUGGGAUUACAGGCACGUCAUUACAUCCAGCUAAUUUUUGUAUUUUUUUUAGUAGAGACUGGGUUCCACCAUAUUGGCCAGGUUGGUCUCAAACUCCUGACCUCAUGAUCUGCCCACUUUGGCUUCCCAAAGUGCUGGGAUUACAGGCGUGAGCCAUCACAUCUGGUCCUUAAUUACCUCUUUUAAGGCUCCGUCUUCAAAUAGAGUCAAAUUCUGAGGUUCUGAGGGUUAGGAUUUCAGCAUAUGAAUUUUGGGGGAGCAUAAUUCAGCUAAUUGCACUAGUGACCAUCUCAGGGGUCUGUAGAACCAGAUGAUCCCUACAACCAGUGCUCCCCAUUUCCAUGACAGGAGCCACUGCAGAGAGCCCCAGGUCACAGUGGUCGCCACAGACCACUGCCUUCAGCACCAUCCUCCCUCUCUCCUCCGUCCCUUCUGUCAUCCCCACAGUGACACAAACACAUUACUCUCGUGAAUCCUAAAUGUGAAUCGACUGCUCCUCAUUCAUCCUGGGUGUAGCCGACAUCUUUGAAUCAUCUCAGGGCCACUCCUAUUUGUGGCCUCAGUCACUGGUUACUUGAACUUAAAUAGGUCAGAUAAACAGAGUUCAAAGCCAUGGUGCAUAUAACACAGUUUGGAAUUCAGGAUGCAGACAGGGAACCUCCCUAAAUGUCGCAAUUAUCUUGGUCCUAUACUAAGGCAUGUCCCAGGUUAGAAAAUUCAGCUCAGAGGAGGUUUUGCCCUGGGGACAGUAUGCCCCUAGAGAAACAUCCCAUUCAUAAUGAGUCACCACUGAGAGAGAGUCAGCUCAUGUUUCUGGUAAUUCGCUAAUAAAAUGGUAUCUCUAUUAAACACAUAUAUAGAAAGGUAAAAAUAGAUUAUUUUCUAAAUAGCUCUGGCUCAAGGUAAAGUGGUGAAGGAGUUGUUAGUUCUUUUGGAGGCAAAAUAAAGCUGCUUUUCCUUCAUCCCCGACCACACUUACACUUCAUCCUAGGACAAACAAGAAAUCCCUCAGUGAAAGAAAAUGAAAAUGCUGUUCUUCACUGGAUUGCUUCAGAAAUAUGCUUGGACUUGAGAGUUCCAGCGUUUCUGGGACUCAUUCUUACAGAGUCUAACCCUUGUGGUUUUUUGGUAGGAGGCAAUUUCUGUGCUGGUUAUGAUUUGAAGGAGCUGGCCCACGGCUCAACCUUGCUUAAAUUGGAACAAGAUGUCACCAGUGGUCUUGCUCCCUUAGGAGGUACUAGGAAACAGAUUCCUGUCAGAUGAAUUUUAGGCCAUUCCGGGGACUCUUGUUAGUUUCCAUGACUAGAAAUGACACCACCAUUCUGUCACUGCGUUUCAAGUGCCUCGCACCAUGCAGGGAGUGUGAGUUGCAGUGGGUUAUUUUUUUCUUUUCAAUUUUUUUUUUUUUCAAGCAAGGAAGGUAAUGGCAAAGAAUUUUUCAUAAAAACAAGUGACAAAUUUCACUCGAGUUACUGACACAUAGAAGGAAAAAAUUAGUUUUUGCUUUGAAGCUAACCAGAAACAAAUGGAACUGUUUCUCCAAAGGAAAAGUUGGAGUUCAGUUAUGAUACAUCCCCUCCCAGAAAUCUAGGAAAUUAUACAUACUGUACCCUCUGUUUAUAAGAAUAUGAAUAACAUGAUUGUGUGCACAGGGUCAAUUGCAGUUCAGAUGAGAAUUUACUGCUGCUGAGCUGCAACUGUAUAAAGGCAGGGAGAGCUGCUGUUAACCCCUUAUUAACACAGCCCAAAUGCCUUUGUUGAAAGGAAAACUUAGAUGGAAAGCUCCUUGAGGCCAGGAAAGACGUCUUAAAUGUCUUUAGCUAUUUCCCCAUCUCCAGUUCGUGUCCUGGUGGUUGGCACACAGUAGGUGUUCAAGUGAAUGAAUAAAUCACUUUUGAUCAAAAGAAUAAGCAGCAUUUGUUUUUCACAUUGAGAAACGGGAGUGGUCGUAUUGUAGCCACCUACAAUAUGCCACAUGAUUGAGCAGGAGAAUCAUAACCCAGCUGAGCCCACUCGCUCUCAGGCUGACGGUGCUAGCGGCGGCCACAACAUGAUCUCAGUGACAGCAGCCAUGGCUGGCCAGGCUCUGUUGCUAAGGGUUUUCCAUGCCUCCAAUGCAUGCACCCUACCAAUCACCCAAGGAGGGGGUGUUGUUUCUGUUUUGGGGAUGUUUGGGAUGAGGCCCAGAAAGGUUAAGCAGCUUGCUUGGGAUCACACAGUAAGUAGCAAGACAAGAGCUUGCACUCAAGCUUGCCUAAUUCCAGGAACCACUCCAGCACACUGCCCUCCGGGGUCUUCCCAAAUGAAUCAUGCUUGUUCAGAAAGCCUAUUGAAAGGACUAUGUAAUCACAGUAGAAGAGCUUGGGAAGAGUGUCAGGCAGUCUCUGGGGUGUUUGGGGUCUCCCGCGUCCACUCCCUGGCAUUCCUGGAGGGCUCUAGUGAAAGCAUGAUUAUCCCGGGCAGCCUUCAGCAGUGGAACUACAUACAGGGAACACCAGGGUUAGGAAAAGCCGUGGGAGGGAGGAAGAAGCUAAAGGGGAGGGCAUGCCCGCCUAGUGCCUGAGUAGCCUCAGGGUGUGCAGGGUGAGGAGUGGUGUUUUGGACACCGGCCCGGCCCCACCCUGCUGGCUGCCUCUGUGGGAGGAGGGUGGGGCCGUGAAGGGAGGGUUGUUUAUAAGCACCUCUGGCUUUUUAAAGCACCAGCUGAUGGCGCCACCUCCUUUGCUUCUAGCGUAAGGCCCCUCUGAGUCACUGUGGCUCCAUCCACCUGCAGUCCCCAGCCCCAGCUGGGGCAGAAAUGUAGGGCAGCAGAAUAAGCGUAGGUUUUGAAGUCCAGCUGUGAUUUGGACCAGCUGUGGGCAGAUUACUUAACAGCUUUGUAUCCUUUUUGAGGGUAGUAAUACCCACUUUAUGCAAUUCUUGUGAGAUCAAAAUGAGUCCAAGCAUGUGAAAUACUUAAUGCCUGGCACUUAAGAAAUGUUCAACAACAAUUAUUGGAACAGUCUAUUCCAAAUUCGCCCAUCCUCAGCCUGCAGUCAGGGUGGCUUUUGAGUGUACUGCAGAUAUGCUCCAGGGCAGCUUGAGAGAGGAUAUGGGAAUUUUCCUGCCUCUCUUCACUUAGGUCUUUACACAUGAUCCUCAUUUGUGGAGUGGUAGCAGUAAAUCCUUGAAGGAAAUGCAUGCCCACAGUUCCGCUCCAUGUUUACUAAAGACCUACUAUGUGCAGACACUGCCAGGGACAGAAAAAUGAAUAUGACAUAGCCCUGCUCUCAGGGAACUUAUAGUCCAGCUGAAAACAUGCACACACACAAAUAAGCAAUUUAAAUAUUAUGCAUUAAAUGCUGUGAUGAUGGUGUGCACAGAACGCUAAGACAGCACAGAGGAAGGACAAUGAGAAUAAUCUUGGAGCUGAAGACAAUGUCCCCAGAAGGGUGUGGUCUGAGUUGGGUCUUAAAGGACCAGGAGAAGUUAGCCAAGCUGGUGACCUUGGACUUAGCCAAUGAACUAAGCUGGAACUACAUUUCCCAGAAUUCCCUUCCCUGUAUGGCUCUGGGCUCGGACUGACCCCGUGAGAAAUAUGCAUAAAGUCUGGAGGGUAGAAGGGAGUCAGCAGCUGUGUGGAUGCUCCUUGUGUCAACAUGGGGCUGGGUAGCUCACGCUUGUUGCAGAUCCACAGGCUUCCCUUGUUGAGGUGAGGCAGCACCUUCAAUGUCUCUGACUCCUAGGCCAGGUGUGUGUCUAGCUCAAUGAUGGAAGGUGCCAGCUUCCCUUGUAAGUGACCAGCACUGGGUCUGCUUCACCCUUCCGGGCUCCCAGGUGAGUUCUGGUUUGCCCUGGCUCUCCCCACUUCAAGCCUCUUUCCUUCCCAACUGCCUGCCCUGCUGACUUCAGGUGCAGAGCCAGAUACAGAAAGAAUAGGUGUGUGUAAACUGUUGAACCAGCUCCUACAAUUGCAUGGGUUGGGGUGGGGAGUCAAAUCCUGUAAUAAAUUCCUUGUUUGAGAUCACGUUGAAUGAUUCUACUUCUCUGGUUGAUUUUUUUUUUUUUUUUGGAGACAGAGUCUUGCUGUUGUCACCCAGGCUGGAGUGCAAUGGCGCGAUUUCUGCUCACUGCGAACUUCGCCUCCCAGGUUCAAACGAUUUUCCUGCCUCAGCCCUUCAAGUAGCUGGGAUUACAGGCACCUGCCACCAUGCCUGGCUACUUUUUGUAUUUGUAGUAGAGAUGGGAUUUUACUUUGUUGGGGGCCAGGCUGGUCUCAAACUCCUCACUUCGGGUGAUCCACCUGUUUCAGCCUCCCAAAGUGCUGGGAUUACAGGUGUGAGCCACUGUGCUCAGCCCUCUGGUUGAAUCUUGAUGGAUGGACCAAUUAAGGAUGGCUGGGGAAAAAGGUCCAGGCAGGAGGAGUAGAAUGAGCAGAGUUAUGAAAGGUGGGGUUCAUCCAGGGAACCACAGGUAGCUUGGCAUUUCUAGAAAUAGGAUCAGAAGCAGGGAGGGAAAGAUGAGGCUAGAGAGGGAGGGAAUGGCUGGGCUGUGGAGGAACUGAAUGCCAUACUGAACGUUUGGAGAAUGCAAGACGCAGCUGAAUGAGGGAGGCUUCUGUAUGUGUGGCGAUACUGCUGUGAGCAGUUUAUGUGAUCUGUUAUGGUAUUUACUGUCCUCUGAAUAACGUUCCACAUGACAAAAAUGUACUUUUUAAAAUGUUGUUUUUAAAAAUGUACUUUUAAAAAUGUUGUUUCCUUCCUACAGUCAUGUAACAAGAAUUAGGUGAUAUAUUCUAUCGGGACAGGAUAGGUUAUACUGUCUAAUAAAUAAACCACAUAUUUCAGUGGCUUCUUUAUAAAGGGUUUGCCUUCCUCAUGUCAUGCUGGGCAGAUGUUUUUCUUUGGUGACUCUUUAUCAAUCAGUGUCUCAGGGCUCCAGGUCCCUUUAUUGUGGUAUUGCAAUCUUAAAUGUGUGGUAUUUGAGGCUGCCGAGAAAAUGAGGUUGCAGAUUGUGGGCAAUCCUGCCAGUCGGGGUGGGGUGGGUCCCUGCUGGGCCUGAGCGUGGCUUCUGUAACUUCCAACAAGUCCUCACUAGUAGCACCUAUUCACCCAUCCCUAAAUGCUAGCAGGCUGGGGAAGGUGGGCUGGGAAAAGGAAAAUAAAAUGGGAUUUGGUAAAUACAACGCAUUGUAAAUGACACUAUGAUCAGUUAGGAAGCUUUUCUUUAUGGCUCAAUCCCAGUAAAAGAGUAACUGUGCUGGUGCAUGGUUGAAAUGUGUAGGUUUCCUCUUCCAUUACACCAUUUGGAUCUUCUGUCCUUAUUUCCAUGCUUUUAGAUAUUCAAAGACAAAAAACAUCUUUAAUUUUUCAAGUCACAACUGAAUGCUUCUAUUCUACCAUUUUAAACUACUCCUCUGCUUCUAUCUAGACAGGUGGCUCUAGCUUGACAAAGAACCUUUAUAUGAAAACACAUAUGGAUCGAGGUUCUCCCUUCUUUUUCCUUUUCCUUUUCCUUUUUCUUUUUUUUUAAAUGGAGACAGAGUCUCUCUCUGUCACCCAGGCUGGAGUGCAGUGGUGUGAUCUUGGCUCACUGCAACCUCUACCUCCUGGGUUCAAGAGGUCCUUUUGCCUCAGCCUCCCAAGUAGCUGGGAUUACAGGUACAUGCCAACAUGCCCGGCUAAUUUUUGUAUUUUUAGUGGAGAUUGGGUUUCACCAUGUUGACCAGGCCAGUCUCAAACUUCUGAUCUCAAGUGAUGUGCCCUCCCUAAGUGCUGAGAUUACAUGCGUAGGCCACCGUGCCCAGCCCCAAGUUUCUCUUUCUAGAAUACUUUUCCUUUGUGCCCCAGGAUGAAUGCCUGGGUACCAGGGUUGUUUGGGUUAGAGAAUAUUAGCUAAUGAAAAUGUAGAAUGGUUGCUUUUUAUGAUUAUGCAAAUAUAGAAAGCAAACCAGUUACAGGUGGCCAAGGGCAUCAUCACCCUUCCCAUGUCUGCUUGUCGCAAGUCUCCCCAGUCACAAUUCAUUUUUGGGGAGGCCAGCACAGGCAGGAUAUUACUGGUGUUUUGAUUGAUGGUUUAAAAUGUGUUUCCCCUUAGACAUAGUGUUACAGACAAUGAUUAGGUGUACCUGAAAGAGAACCAUAGGUCAUAUUGUUUUUCAGGCACAUGAUGGAUUAAGCAGGCAAAAUUUAACCAUUUGUUACAUUAACUGUGGCAAUUGUAUUACAAGUUCCAGGCAAAGAACUUAAACUUUAAGAAAAGGUUCUUUCUUUUCUUUUUUUUCCCGAUUUCCAAGAGGCUCUAAUUGUAAUUUUCAUGCCAUAAUGUUUCAAAGGUCAAAACGAUCGUGUAUACUACUUUGAAUUAUAAGAUAUUACACAAAAGAUAAUUCUGUUAUCAUUUUUUGUAGAGAACCUCGGAUUGAGCAUUGUGAUAUUGUGACAGCUAAUUUUAUGUGUCAACUUGGCUAGGCUGUGGUACCCAGAUAGUUGGUCAAACAGCAGUCUAGAUGUUGUUGUAAAGGUAUCUCAUAGGUAGAGAAACAUUUUAAUCAGUAGAGUUUGAGUAAAGCAGAUGACUGUCCACAACACAGAAGGGCUUCAUCCUAUCAGUUGAAGUCGUUAAGAGAAAACACUGAGGUUCCUGGAGGAAGAAGGAUUUCUGUCUCCAGGCUGUCUUCAGAAUCACACUGUUACUUCCUUUCUGGGUCUCCAGCCUGCUGGCUUUCCCUGCAGGCUUCAGUCUUACUAGCCCCUACAACAGCAUGAGCCAAUUCCUUAAAGUUAUCCAUACAAUAUCUAUAUCUAUCUAUCUACCUAUCUAUCAAUCGUCUAUCCACCUACCUAUCUACCUAUCAGUUUCCUACAUUCUAUUGGUUCUGUUUCUCUGGGGAAUCCUGACUAGAGACAUAUUUUCAGAGAAAAGGAAAAUCAACAAUAUUUACUAAUUUGAAUCUAAAAAUAUUAAGAAUUGUACAUCUGCAUACAAAUGUUCUUUGGGAAACACAAAUCCAGUUGAUGAAGGAAUCUGUUUGUCUUCAGCCAUCUUCCACCUUCUCCUUAUUUUCUAUAAGUCCUGUCUGAGGUCUCCCCACUUCUGCGUUCCCUGCUUGAGGGCACAGCAGGCAAACACUUUUAGGUGGGAGAACCCAUAAUCCAGUAAUGAAUUUAGGACUGUUCGCUUUCAAAUCUAUGGAGAGGGUUAUUCUCACUUUCUCCUAACUAUUAUUUCACUUCUUAUAAGGAAUUUAAUUCAUGGUUAGGUACACAUUCGAUACCUUUCCAGAGACAAAGGAAAUUGGAGCUAACAGAUAUUAAAUAGCAUUUAAGACAUGAGCCAAUGGAAGAAAUGAACAUUUAAAAUAUGACUGACAUGGUCUCCGACCUACCAGUCCAGGUUUGGCUGAACUCCUGAUGCUCUGUGUGAUGUUCCAUGCUUGGAAUAGGGUUGGAUAUUUGAACAAGUAGGGUUGCACAUAGAAUAAAAUGUCAGCUUUAUGAAGGUGAUUUGUAUUGCUUGAGGUCUCACCUCCUAAUAAGGUACGUAGGAGAAACAAUAAAUAACGCUGCUUAUGCAACUGUCCAUGUGGUGUGUCAAAAACCAUUCAUGUCUGUUGAAAAAGUCCAAAUGAAACCAAAGUAAGAAACAGUGAAGAAUUAAACAUAAUAGAGGUUAACUUACAGAUGUCCAGUCUAGGAUACAUUUUAGAAAGCGUUCCAGUCUUUUCCUUAUUAUGUUGGAAGACAAAUCUGAGAAGAUUAAAAAUGAGGGGUUUGGGGGAGGGCCGGAUUAGAAGUUAAAAUUAUUCAUGCUGCCUCUUUUUCUUUCCUUGUUUUAGAAAGUGGGAAGAUAGUAUAUAUCUUCUAAAUUGAAAUGACCCAUCAUAAACCUCAUUAUGUUAGAAAUUCAAGUCCUAUUUAUCAUCCUCAUUAAAGACAAAAGCUCUCUAGGGGGCCGGGCGCGGUGGCUCAAGCCUGUAAUCCCAGCACUUUGGGAGGCCGAGGUGGGUGGAUCAUGAGGUCAAGAGAUCUAGACCAUCCCGGUCAGCAUGGUGAAACCCCGUCUCUACUAACAAUACAAAAAAUUAGCUGGACGUGGUGGCCUGUGCCUGUAGUCCCGGCUACUUGGGAGGCUGAGGCAGGAGAAUUGCCUGAACCCAGGAGGCGGAAGUUGCAGUGAGCCAAGAUUGCACCAUUGCACUCCAGCCUGGGUAACAAGAGCGAAACUCCAUCUCAAAAAAAAAAAAACCUCUCUAGGAUGCAGCUGUCACUAACUCUAUCCAGGACCAGUGGGAGAGAAGUUCAAAGUGAAAGCAGACAGCAAUGUAGGCAUUGACUUGUAUUUCAGAAAGCACUGAAAAGAACAACUAGGGGACUAAAAAUGAAAUUUGUCUGUGCAGAGGAAAUAUGAUUAGUUAAAUCAUAAACACGGAGUAACACUGCAUUCAGGAAUGAGGAUCUCUGAGGUCUCAUGCAGACUUGCAGUGUGAGAUUUUGGGGGAAUGACAGGCUACUUUCUGCUUUCCUAGAGAUAACUGUUUCCUUUUUUUUUGAGACAGAGUCUUGCCCUGUUGCUCAGGCUGGCUGGAGUGCAGUGGUACAAUCUUGGCUCACUGUAGUCUCCGCCCCUGCAAGUUCAAGCGAUUCUCCUGUCUCAGCCUCCUAAGUAGCUGGGAUUACAGGUGCACACCAACACACCUGGCUAAUUUUUAUAUUUUUAGUAGAGAUGGGGUUUCACCACGUUGGUCAGGCUGGCCCUGAACUCCUGACCUCAGGUGAUCUGCCUGCCUCAGCCUCCCCAAGUGCUGGGAUUACAGGCAUGAGCCACCGCGCCUGGCCAACUGUUUCAAUUUACAUGUUAGUAAGGCAGCAGAUAUCCAGGGGUUCUUGCAGGUUCCCACGCCUGGAGCAUUUAGCACAGUGCCUGGGACCCAGGAGGCUCUCCAUAUAUUGCUGAGAAAUUGAUUUCUCAAUAGAUAUUCUAAAAUUAACAUAUCAAGGUUGUGCCUUAAUAUGUAAUAGAUUGUCACAAUUAAGUUGUAGGGAACUUGUUCUCAGUCUCAGGUUUUUGUCUCUAAUUAUGCUUCCUUGGGCAAGUCAGUAAUCUUCCCAGGCCUCAGUUUCCUCAUCUGCAUAAUGAGGAGGGUCAAUUAGAUGGCCUUUAUGUUCUCUCUGGCACAAGCAUUCUAUGAAUCUGUGAAACUAGCUUCAGGGUACCCCAAACUUAAACCACAUAAAUCCUACUUUACAAUUCAAUCCAGUUCAACCAUACACAUUUAAACGAAUAUUUAUUAAUUUUGUAUUUAUCAUCCACAUUAAAGACAUGUUCAGGACACUCCGUUAUCUGCCAGAGGUAGAUGAGGAUGAAGGCUGCCAUCUGCUCUUGUCCUCAAGGAGCCUACCCUCAGCAAGGGUGAAAGACAGGAUGUGAAAUGAGUACCAGAAGGUUCUAGAACUCCUCCGGGGCAACACUGUGUCCCUCAAAUUGGGAUGGUCAUGUUCUUAGAACUGGGGGAGGGGCUGUGAGCUAAAAAAAGGAAAGUCGAAUGAAAUUCAAAAGGUAGUGAAUUCACUAUCACCUGAGCAGGAGCAGAGCUUCACCAUGGAGGAAGCUCAGCGUAUGUUUGGGAGAGAGCAAGUGUUACUCUUGAGCAGAAUGACGGGGCAGGUGUGGAGAAACAGGAAAGGGAAGAUGGAAACGGUAAGUGUUGGCAAUUUGCAGAGGGUCUUGGACAAAUGCAGAACACAGAGACUGUACUAAAUAGCUGUAAACAUUUCCUAGGAAGGGCACGAGAGGAUGCUACAUGACAGAUCAAUCAGAAAACAAAUGGAGGGGAUAGGGGGACACAUCCAUUCAGUUAGACAGAACUUGGGGGUGGCUGCGGAUAGGACAGCUUCCUUGCCCUUGACCUGUUCAGACACAGGGUCCUGCUGUAAAAAGGAGUCCAGACCCAGACCCGAAGAAAGGGUUCUUGAAUGCCACGCUAAAAAGAAUUUGGGGUGAAUCUAUGGAAUAUAGCAAAAGCAAGUUUAUUAGGGAAGUAAAGAGACAAAAGAAUGGCUACUUCAUACACAGAACAGCACUAAGGGCUGCUUGACUCAAUGUGUUUAUGGUUAAUUCUUGAUUAUGUUAAAUCUAUGAGUUUUCUGGGAAAGGGGCAGGCAAGUCUCAGGACUGAGGGUUCUUCCCCUUUGUAGACCAUAUAGGCUAACUUCUGGAUGUUGCAUUUGUAAACUGUCUUGGUGCUGGUGGGAGUGUCUUUUAGCAUGCUGAUGCAUUAUAAUUAGCAUAUAAGGAGCAGUGAGGAUGAGCAGAGGUCACUUUUAUCGCCAUCUUGGUUUUAGUGGUUUUGAUCUGCUUCUUUACUCCUGUUUUAUCAGCAGGGUCUUUAUGAUCUGUAUCUUGUGUGAUAACAGUUCUGCUGACCUCCUAUCUCAUCCUGUGACUUAGUAUGGGAAUGCUGGGAAUGUGGCCCAGCAGGUCUCAACCUUAUUCUACCAGCCCCCAUUCAAGAUGGAGUCACUCUGUUAUUUCCGAAGUCUCUGACAAAGGUGAAUGUGGGACAUCGUUGCUACUCAGACUCUGUACUUCUGAAGGUAUUUCCUCAUUUUGCUACAGUCUCACCUGGAAGUGGUUUUCCAAGACUGUUAGUGAUGCAGCCUAUGGUGGGGAAAUUCACCCCUGCUCCUGGCUGAUUGCCCAUUGCUGGGGUUUUGGCCAUCUAACAGUGGUUUGGGACAUGUCUGGUUAAAUGACUCUAACUGGAGUGGUCGUUGGUGAUCCUUUUUAAAUUUUGGGUAUUUUUGUUUCUUGUCCCACCAGGACAUACCACAUCAUAAGGCAGUGUUGAAAAUGGGAGAGUCAGGAUUAUCUCUGGCUUUAAUUGUCAACUUAAUUGCUUUUUCAUUUUUUGGUGAAGCAAAUGGAGCCGAAACAUAUGUUCUUCACGGUUUAUUAUAAAUAAUGGCGAUAAUGAAAUGUUCAUUACUACCGGACCAGAAAGACAAUACUACAAGGAAUUUCAUCUCCUGGUUUCUUUAUUUCUUUUUAACCUGCCUGCCGCCUCUUUUGUUGUUUAUUUGUUUUAAGCAAGUCCUGGCAUUUUGUAUGCCUUUUUGACAUGGCAGCCUUAGAAAUUUCAUGCAGCAAGCAAACUUCACUCAGGGCAGCAGUCCUGGAUAAAGAGAUUGCGCUGCAGCACGCUGAAUAUUACUGGGCAGCGGCUCCGGUGGGAGAUUAUGGAGGGUUACAUCCUCCUGUUCACUCCUGGCUGCAGGACUUCCUCCCAACUCCCUCCGUUUCACUGGUCCCUCUUUCUUCUCUGUUUUUGUUUUUGGGCAAUGGACCCACUGAAUGGCCUUUCCUCAGCUUGCCACUUUCUUCCUCAGGAUUUUUGUUCUCUUGUCGAUCUUUGGCAAAGUCUCUGCACAUGUAUUUGAGUUUUUAUCCAAAGAUUUCUUUUUUCUUGUCUUUUUUUCCAUACUGUAUUUUGAUUUACAUUACAAAAGAGCUUGCCCUUUUGCCGAUUGAACAAUGGAUCAUUCAUACUUAAGUUUUAGAUGUUUGGGUAUCUUGACACACAUGUAAGAGCAGAUGUUUUCAUGCAAGUGUGACUGUCAGAGUUAAUUCAGCUUUGUUUGCAACUGCUAUUUUAAUGAAAUUUUGACUUUUUUUUGACUCUCACUCCUUCCCACUUGUGGUAUUUUACUUAUUUGGAAAUACACUAUUCACUACAUAGUAGAAUUAGAUGUUAUUCCCCUGUGGUUGAUAUCUUUGCCUCUAAAGCUGACUUUCUAAGUUUUCAGCAUUCUUGAAUAUAAUGCUUCUGCAGUAGGCAGAAAAGCCCAGUGUAUGGUAGAUAUAUUCUUCUAAACAGUUGCCCUAGGAAUGACAUACCCACGGUUUCAGAAGAUUAACAUAGUGUUUUUUCUGGUGGGUCUCAUGCACACACACACACCACAAUGCAAACGUUAUGCUCAACAGAGAAAAAGUUAUGGUGCACAAGAAAACAAAACCCAAAAGAUAAAAGGCAGAGCAAAAACCUCUUCAAAGUAAAGUAUUUGUUUAAACUCACUAAAUUACACAUUUUGGACCCUAAAAAUGUUUGUGAAAAGUGCUCUGAAAUUAUCAGACCACAAUACUCCUUUUGAGUCUGAAAAACAUCUUGAGGUUGGGUGACAUGGUGCAUGGCGGCUGGGCUGGCCAAAGAAGGAUGUGUAGUCAAGAGUGUUGAUGGGAGACAAGGGGGUGAUGGAGAACUGAGGACCUGUCUCUGCAGGUUUACAGACUGGGCAUGAUGGAAGCAAGGGGGUGAUAGGGCUCACAAGACGGGCACUUUGGUGAGAGAGAGGAGAUGUUGGCUAUUUAAUGCUUCAAAGGAAUCUCAAAGUUCUGCAUGUGACGUCGGACUUUGAGAGCUUGUUUGGAGGUUCCAGCAGGGGAGCACAGCUACUUGUAUACUCUUGACCGAAGACCAGUCCUCCUCUAUCGGGGAUGGUCAUCCUCUUUGACCUGCGCAGCUUUGGGAGGGACGCACAUGGAGCAGUGAGGGAGGCAGGGGACACCCACCUAGCCAGCCAGGUCAGCAGAAUCAACCCUGGCAAUCAAUGGGGUGACAGAUGUUGCAGCCAGAUUGCCCUCACAUCCCUGCAUGUGACAUUGGGUGUGGGUAGAGUCAGCAGGGAAUGAAGUGGAGGUAAAGGUGGGUAGAGCUGAGGUGCUCAGAAACCAAUGAGGUGGACGGGCUUCUAGGUGGUCUACGUAGACGCUGCUGUCACCCAGCAUGUUAGUAGCUCAGGAGAGAGGACAGAACUGUGAGCUGAACACUGUGUCUCUUCCCAUGACCCUCCUUAACUAAUUGUUAAUCCAUCAUUCAUUCAACAUUCAUUCAAAAAUGAAUGUACAUUAAGUGAGGAUGCCAUGGCAUUGUUAAUUGCUGAAAUUACAAAAAUAAAUCCAGCCAGGCAUGGUGGCUUACGUCUGUAAUCCCAGCACUUUGGGAGGCCAAGGCAGGCAGAUGACCUGAGGUCAGGAGUUCAAGACCAGCCUGGCCAACAGGUGAAACCCUGUCUCUGCUAAAAAUACAAAAGUUAGCUGGGUGUGAUAGCGCACACCUGUAAUUCCAGCUACAGGCUGGAGGCAGGAGAACGGCUUGAAUCCGAGAAGUGGCGGUUGCUGUGAGCCAAGAUCACACCAUUGCACUCCAGCCUGGGCUACAAGAGUAAAACUCCACCUCAAAAAUAAUAAUAAUAAUGAUAAUUAAUUAAAAAUAAAUAAAUCAGACAUGGUGACAGAGCAUGGAAAGCAUACUGGCUGAUUGAUAAGGGUGAGCAUGUACCAGUUAUCUCAACCAGAGCUUGUAAACCCACAGGGUUGCAGGGGCCAGGUGGGGCAUGAGAAGAUGAGGCCAGCAGGUGGAAUAAAGAGGAAACAUUUGGUGACUGUGGUGAACUGGAGAGCUCAUAGCUCAUUCCAUGUUGGCGAAUCUUUCGAUUUAAAAAAGAAAAAGCCAGACACAGUGGCUCAUGCCUAUAAUGCCAACUACUCAGUUGGGACUCUCCAAGACAGGAGAGUCACUUGAGCCUAGGAGUUUGAGGCUGUAGUGAGCUAUGUUUGCACCACUGAAUUGCAGCCUGCGUGAUAGAAUGAGACCCCAUCUCUUAAAAAAUAAAAAUAUAAAAUAAAUUUUAAAAAUAAAAGAAAUGAAGAUUUCUGGGAAUGAAAUUUCCCAAUUUAAAAACUUUAGCAAAUAAUUAAACAAAUAAAAAUAUAGUUAGCAUGGGCCAGUGAUUUGUGUCUUCUGAUUGAAAUGAUUGGAGCUGCAGGCCAACUUUGGUUCUUGUUCUGGUUCUACCCUUAGUUUGCUAAUGAUCUUCCACAGGUCACCUAACAUCUCUGACCCCAGUGGCAUCUAAAAGGAGCAGGAAGCUGUAGGGCAUGGGCUCUAGGGUCUUUCCCAGUUCUCUGAUUGUGAUUUCAGCAUCCAAAGAGACUGCUGAUUAAUUUCCUUGUGCCAAGAAGGGUGGAAAGUAUGGGACCAUAUCUAUGAUGUUUCUUCCUCUGAAAUGUGCAGUGUCAACAGAGGGCUGUCACUCUGGUCUCUCUGGGGGAAUUCCUUGUGGUGACUAAUAUUGGCCUCACUGGACUCUGAGAAGGAGCUAGCUUUGGAAACCACCAUGAUGAACUUCUGUUUUCCUUUUUCUCUCCCAUGUUUGUGAUCAACAAGGGAGGCAAAGGAAUUGUUCAGACAGACAUUUGCUGGAAUCCCAGGUCUGUCCGUUAAUGAUCUCUGUGAUUGGGCAAGUGAUUUCCCUUGAGUCUUAACUAUCACUGGCUGAAGAGCUAGAAAAGAGAAUGUCCUCCCGUAAACACAUGGAUACUUCCCUCUGCCAGAGGAGAAACUUAUCAUCGUGUGUCUAUUUGUUUUUUUGUUUUGCCUCGACUACUAGUAAGUUGACCAGAAAGCAAAAUAUCUGGAACAAGUUAGUUUAAUUCUCUGAAGAAUUUCUUUGACUAAAUUAUAAUUGAAUGUCAUCAUCUUAGUGUGUUUUUUUUCCUCCAUAUUAUCUUCAAAAUUGCAGUCAAUGGUAUUUUUCAAAAUGGUUCAACCUGGGCAACAUGACAAAACUCCAUACAAAAAAGACAAAAAUUAGUUGUGUGUGGUGACAUGUGCCUGUGGUUCCAGCUACCUAGGAGGCUGAUGUGGGAGGAUCACCUGAGCCUGGGGAGGUUGAGGCUGCAGUGAGCUGUGAUGGUGCCACUGCAAGACCCUGUCUCAAAAAACAAACAACAAACAAAUAAAAUGUUUACAGUGUUUCUUACAUGGAAAGAUAAACAGAAAGCUUCUGUGAAGGAGGCUGGUAGAGUUAUUUGCUGGCCAUCUGGCUUCCCACUGAGCUUUUGUUUUCCUGCAUAAGGUCUGGAGGGGAGGGCACUGAGUGGAAUUGCUUGGGCCAAUAGAGAGGACUUCUGGAAGCUGCACGAGGAGUGGAGAAACAGGAGGAACAGAAACCUAGUUAAGGGCCACUGGAAAAAAGCCUUGGGAUGGAUAAGGACAGAGAUACCUAUUGUGUAGUUGGUUGAGGUUUUGCUAUGUACUGUGUGACACUCUCUCCCUCUUCAUCUCCUCACAGAAAGACACCACUUACCAGUGACUUUUGCUGUUUUUUUGAUGAGCCAACUUUAAGGCAUGUUCAAAUUGAACAGAGACCACCUAAAUGGUCCAGCCACCCUCGAGUUACAGUGAUAGAGGGCUACCAUAAUAUCUUCUUGCCGAAUAGCAUUGCCAGAAAACAGUAUGUCUUACCCAAUGAAAGUGUAUGCUUCCCUCUGCCUAAAGAGAACUAUGUGACUCAUGGAAUGUUUGUUCAGCAUUCGCUAAACAAGGUUAGAACAAGAUGUAGUGCUCAAUUGUAUAUCACAUUUCUUUGUUCUCUCUCAUGUAAUUUCAGAUCUCUCAUUGCUAUGUUUUUUUAAACUGCAUAUUUUGUAUGUUUUCAAGACAUCUCAUAUUUGUGUGUUUUGAGACACCCCAAAUGGUUUGCAGAAGCCAGGUAGGGGCUAAGCCAGCACUAUCCAGUGGAAUUUUCUGUGUGAUGGAGACGUUCUGUAUCUGUGCCGUCCAAAAUGGUGGCCACCACACAUGUAGCUCUUGAGCACUUGAAAUGUGUUUAGUACGACUGAGAAACUAAAUGUUCAACUUUGUUUAAUUUUAAUUAACUUAAAUUUAAGUUUAAAUAGCCACCUGUGGCUGCCCUGUUGGACGGCACAGGCCUAUACCAUUUAUAAAUAAACAAAUGCUUUUGAACAUCUGGAAAGGGUUUCUUCUCAAGUUCAAAUGUUCUUUACAUGAUGAAUUUAUUUAGAAUAAUCUUUUUGUGUAAUAAGAAAUAAUUAUUUGUGUUUGUAUAAUAAGGAAUAAUAAGGAAGUUUAAACUCCAUUUACUUCUAAAAAUAACAAAAUUAACCAAGUACUUUAUAUUCACUGGCGCUUUGGUAGUUUCAUUAUCAAUUUACAUCCAAACUUUUACUAAAUAACUGAAAAUAGGCUUGCCUAACCAUUAGACCUAGAUGAUAGUUUUUAUUUUAAAUUGGAAGUCUGUGAGAGACAACUUUAAAAAAAUAAAUUGUAGUUCUAUUUCUUGACCUGGGUGGUAUUACCGAGGUGUUUGACUUUAUAACUGCUUAACUGUUCUUACAUGUCAUAGGCACGUUUUCAGAAUCUGUUAAUUUUCACAAUAAAAUAUAAAAAUGAUAGUCUUUUUCAAUUUUAAAAGUAUAAUGUGAUGAAAUUGUAAAAGUAUUUACGUCAUAGCCUGAUUAAGGAAACUUCAUAGAAAAUCUAGAAAUAAAUCAAGAACAAAUGGAACUUAGUAUAUAAUAUAUGUGGCAUUUCAAGUUAGUGGAGAGAAAUAUGAAUUACUUAACAACUGGUGAUGGGAAUAUUUUUAUCUAUUUCAUAGAGUUACACUAUGCAUUGAAAUUUAUAUUUACUGGGAUUAGGUUGUUGCUAUUUGAAUUUACCGUUUUUCCCAAUUAAAAAACAAUGGUGUUAGGAUACUGUUUAGUUAUUCAGGGUCAAACUAUGGCCACUUACAUUUACAUACAAGGCCAGGAGCAGUGGCUCACACCUGUAAUCUGAGCACUUUGGGAAGCCAGUCCUUGAGGAUCCCUUAAGUCCAGGAGUUUGAGACCAGCCUGGGCAACAUAUGAGAUCCCGUCUCUAAAAUUAAAAAAAAAAAAAAAAAUUUACAUUUACAUUCAAAUAUGUAAGUUAAGAGCAGGCACUGAUAUUACAUUUUCCCAGGAAGUCUCUAUUACGUUCAGUUUUAAUUAAAACUGAAAAAAGUAAAAGAUCUUAAAAGAUUAUAAAGUUGGAAUGUGGCAUCCAAUGAAAGUGAUUGUAAAAACCUAAAUCUAAAAUAUCCCUUUUGGAAAGAUGUUUAUUAUUAUUAAAAAAUGUUUUUCAGCUGUUACCUGCAAUUUUUUUCUUACUUAAUUUGAAUCUCAGUAGGUUGAGAUUCUUACUUUAAUUAAUUAUGAACCCCGAAUUAAUUCUAGAUAGAUCAGUGUUUACACAGAAGAAAGUGAAGUCAUAAGAAAAAAAAAGGAAAUAUUGGUGAGAACUCUUUAAAUAAUCUUUGAGUGGAAAAGGGCUUUCUACCAUACUACCAAAUUCAGGAACCACAAUGGAAAAUAAUCAUAAAUUUGACUAUAGACUUAGGAAAAAUCUCAUUGUAACAGGAAUCUUCAUAAAGUAAAAGCACAAACAAACGUAUUUACAACAUAAUGGCAAUAGACAGUCUGAUUUCCAUAAACCAUGCAAAAAGUUCUUUUAAAUUUGUUUUUAAAAUAAUAGAAAAAUGGGAAAGAUAAUUCACAUAGAAAGAAAUAUAAAUAGCCAAUGAAUAUAAGAUAGUUUCAGUUAUUAAAGGAAUUCAGAUUAAAGCUUUACUUUUGAAAAUAAGUUAAUUAUUUACAAGGAAGUGUAAUACUGUCAAUCAACUGGCAGUGUUAUUUUAUCUCUUCCUGAAUUUUAAACUUGCCAUGCAUACCUUUAGCAAAAUCUUCAGGAAGCGGUUUCUGUGAAAAUGACCCCUUCAACAAUUAGAAUGACUGAAAAAGAGAAAAGGUGAUCUCAUGGGUGCAGAAGGAUGCAGAGUAAUUGGAAUUCUCAUUCAUUGCUGGUGGGAAGGCAAAAGGCUCAACCACUUUGGAAAGCACUUUGGCAGUUUCUUAUGAAGUUAAACACACAUUUACCACACAAUUCAGCAAUCUCACUCCUAGGCAUUUACUCAAGAGAACUGGAAACUUUCGUUCCAAUGAAAAUUGUGCAUGAAUGUUUCUAGCACAUUUAUUCAUAAUCACCAAAAACUGGGAACAAGCCAAACAUCUUCAACUGGUGAGUGUGUAAACAAACCAUGGCAUGUCCAAAUACUGGAAUACUACUCAGGAAUAAAAGGGAACAAAUUACUGAUUAAUGUAACAACAUAGAUGAAUUUCAUACUAAGUGACAGAAGCCAAACUCAAAAGACACAUUCUGUACAAUUCCAUUUACAUAACAUCCUAGAACACACAAAAUUAUAGGAAGAGAUCAGUAGUUGCCAGGAGUUCAUCAUGGGGGGCUGGGGUUGAUUACAAAAGGGCAAGGAAAUUUUGGAGGUGAUGGAACUGUUCUGUCUUGAUUAUGGUGGUCUAACUGCAUGCACUCAUCAGAUUCAUAGAAAUACAUACCAAAGAAGUUAAUUGUAUUGUACAUAAAUUAAGUGAAUAAAAGGCUGAUGUCUUUCUAAAUUAUUGUAUUAGACUGAAAGCAAAACAGGUUCUUAUUUCUCCAUUUUUUGACUUAGAUUUGAUAAUUGAUGUUCCUUUAUUUCUGAAGUAGACUUCUACACUGAUGUAUAACAUACACAUAAAAGUACACAGAUCAUACCUGUAAAGCUUGACGAACUGUUACAACUGAUGCAUUUAACCAACUGCCACACAGAUCAAGAGACAGGCUGGGCACAGUGGCUCACUCCUGGAACCCCAGCCAGUACUUUGGGAGGCGGUGGUGGGAGGAUUCCUUGAGGCCAGGAGUUUGAGACUAGCUUGGGUAACAUAGGGAGACUUUGUCUCUACAAAAUACAAAAAUUAGCUGGGCAUGGUGGCACAUGUGUGUGGUCCCAGCUAUUCGGGAGGCUGAGAUGGGAGGAUCACUUGAGCCCAGGGAAGUCGAGGCUACUGCACUCCAGCCUGAGUGACAGAAUAAGACCAAACCAAAAAAGACAAAAAGACAUAGGACAUUAUUAGACACCCCUCCCCUACCCCCCUUAAUCUCUCAGAACCAGUAUUCUGACUUCCAACACUAGAGAUUAUAGCUGUUUUUUAACUUUGUGCAGAUAAAAUCAUACACUAUUGAAUACUAUGCUCUUGAUAGGUUCACUUAUAAUUUCAAAUUCAUUUUGUGUAUUAAGCAGCAUAUAUAUGCCAAAUAACAAUGAGGAGACUAGACUGGUCAAGCACUAUGGUCACCUCUAGGUCCCAAAUGAAGUCUGAGAGUUGAGAGAACUCUGACAUACUUUUUGUUUGAAAUACAUUUUUGGCCAGCCAAAUCAGCCUUUUUUUUUUUUUUUUUCUUUUUUUUAAAGCUAAUCGAAAGGCAUUUGGGAAAUGCAUACCAUACUGUUUCUUUAUGAUCUCCAGAAUAAUAUUUUUCUCCAGUAUUAUUUUCCAUAGUAUGGGUAGACAUCAGUCUUAAAAUUGGCCUGACACCCUGAUCGUGUCAUAUGAUACAACCUUGGUACUUCACCCAGUGAUGAUCUAUGAAGUUUUCCUGCUUUGUUCUUUGGAGAUCAGGCUUGACUUUUGCUCAGUUAUAUUUAAAGCUGUGGUGAGAAGAGACUUCUGAAAAAUAGGAUACUGAAGCCUGCUGUAAACUUGAAUAUUUGAAAACCUCCAAUAAAAGUAAAUCCAUACGGCUGGUCUGGUCCCAGCUUGACUCCUGCAUAAUUGGGUCCGAGAUCCUUUAUGAACUUGUGUGAGUGUGUGCGUGUGUGUGCUUACAAUCUUGUAUAUGCUCUUUGUGGUGGAAGUCAGUUAUGCUGGUUUUUGUUUUUGUUAUUCUUUCCAGUGAGAGAACCUGGAGUAUCAGUUCUCAGUUUCAGGGUUGGGGCAGGUUUUAUUUUCUUAACAGUUACCAAGCCACAAAAGAGAAGAACAGAACAAUCUCUGACAAUUAAAAAAUGUCUUGAAAAAUAAUGUCAAUAACAAAUACUAAUUUUUAAGACUUCAGUGUGCUCUCCAACAAAUUCAAAGCCUAAAUUAAAUAUUACACACUUGGAUCCUUUUUACCAAGCCUGAUGGACCAGUGUCAGCCCCAACCACACAGCUCAAGUGAAGGAUGUCCCCAAGCUGGGUGUGACCAGUGGGGCCACCAAACCAUGGGUUCCUUGGUUAUUAUAACUCAAAAAUACUCAAAAGACUGGCCUUUGUGAAUAGGACUCAACCAGAAGAUUCUUCAUUGUAUUCACUCAUUUCCUCUCUCCACCUUUUAUUGUUAGAAUUCCAACUCUAGGCUGGGUGCCGUGGCUCAAGCCUGUAAUUCCAGCACUUUGGUAGGCAGAGGUGGGUGGAUUACUUGAAGUCAGGAGUUUGAGAUCAGCCUGGCCAACAUGGUGAAACCCCGUUUCUACUAAAAAUAUGAAAAAUAGCUGGGCGUGAUGGCUUGUGCCUAAAGUCCCAGCUACUCGAGAGGCUGAGGCAGGAAGAAUUGAUUGAACCUGGGAGGCAGAGGUUGCAGUGAGCUGAGAUGGCACCACUGCACUCAAGCUGGGCGACAGAGUGAGACUGUCUAAAAAAAAAAAAAAAAAAAAAAAAAAAUUCAACUCAAACACUUCUCACUCUUCACAGUGAGAGUUUUAAUGCAAAUAAGUUUUUUUUUUUUUUUUCAUUUUUGCUGUUGUUUAUUGUUGUUAGUUUCCAAGUUGAGAUCUUGGCAAGAUUCACAGAUUAAAUUAUAAACUGCCCCUAAGGGACUCAAUACAAGUUGGCACUAAGGGUCUACAAAUAAAAUCAUAGAAUGUUAGUGUUGGAAGUCUAAUUGGUUUCAUUCUGCAAAGGAGUGACUGGGCUCAAAGAAGGUACGUGGCUCGCCUGAGGUUCCAUAGGUAAUUAGUGGUGGAGGAGGAACAGUAUCUUGGAAGCCUCCAGUUUUCCAGUCAAGCACUCUUUUCCUGUUUUAUUUUUCAUUCUCCCAGAAUAUACUUAGGUGGGUUGGAUUGUUGCAGUUGAAAGUGUGUGCUUUGGAGUUGUGUCUCAGGGAUUUUAGUUAAGAUGUUUAGUUAAAGGGAUUUAUUGGAUCCUGUAACUGAAUAGUCUGAGGGAGGGUGAACUUUGGGAAUGGUUUGAUUUGGCAGCCUUGUGACAUCUUCCAAGACAAGGCUUCUCUUUCACCUUCCCAUUUUAGCCUUCCAUGGUGUCAUCUCUUUGUGGUUAAUAUAUGGCUGUCAGUAACUCUCUGGUCUGCAUGCUUCUUCAUCAGGACCCAGGAAGUGAGUGAAGGGGUCAUUCUGGAAGCUUCCAGAAGACCGCAUCAAACCUUUCUCCACAUUUCACUAGCUUUUGUGGCAGAUGGGCCCGUUUCUAAAUCUUCAGCUGCAGUCGGGGGAUCAGGAUAUACUGAUUAACUUAAGCCUAAGCAAAUGUAUUGCUCUGAAAUCAGUCUCCUUCCCCUAAAGUGUGUGAAUGUCACUAAAAAUGUGGGUAAAAAAGAAAUCGAGGUAGUUGCCAAGAAAGGGAAAAUACAUGUCAGGAGGCGACUCAAUGUCUACUACAGUUGUAAGUAUCAGAAAUCAACCAGAACUAGCUUAAACAAGAGUGGGAAUUUAUUACACAGAUACAGGAGUGUCUCAUGGACCUGAGGCCAGGGAUGCUGCAGAGCAUGAGCAGAGGGGUGGGAGUCAAGAACCAGAGAGCCAUCAGGAACCCAAAUUGCCACCCUGCCCUGCCCUCCCUGCCUUCCCUGCUCCUCUUUUCCCUUCCUUCCCUUCUCCUUCUUCCUCUCUCCACUGACUAGCUGUCUCAGAUUUCUUUUUUUCAUUCUUUCUUUGUUUUGUUUUAUUUGUUUGUUUUUUUUGUGUUUGACAUGGAGUUUUGCCCCUUUGGCUCAGGAUGGAGUUCAGUGGCACGAUCUUGGCUCACUGUAACCUCUGCUUCCCGGGUUCAAGUGAUUCUCCUUCCUCAGCUUCCGGAGUAGCUGGGACUACAGGCACAUGUCACCAUGCCCAGCUAAUUUUUGUAUUUUUAAUAGGGAUGGGGUUUCACCAUGUUAGGCUGAUCUCGAACUGCUGAGCUCAAGUGUCCUGCCUGCCUCAGCCUCCCAAAGUGCUGGGAUUACAGGCGUGAACCAAUGCACCCCGCACCUGUCUCAGAUUUCUUAUUCCUCAUCCCUAUUUGGCCAGCCUGGAUCCAGUGUCCACCUUGGGAUAAGCAGGAUGCACUAACACAGAUUUCCAGGCCCCUCCGUGUGGUGAUGUGGGGUGAGAUGGAGGUCCUGGUGGGCCCGUAGUUCUUAGAGCAUUAAGGCUGAGAUGGCUCCCCCUGAAGGCACUGCGAAAAGGGGAUUUUCAGCCCUGGGUCAUGAUCGUGCUGCAAGGUUCUUGCACAUGUUACGUGGUUCUUACGUGGUUCUGAGGUGCAGCCGAUUGGGGAAAUUACUCCAUGGGCGAGACAUCUGUUGUCAGUGCCACCCUCCAACCCCCACCAUCCCCCGCCAUGGUCAGGACAGGGAGAAGCAGAUGACAUGGGUAAGAAGAGAAUUUUUACUUCUAAAUGGCUUCAAUGGAAAUUUGCAGCCAUGAAACCGAAAGGAGGUAUUUGCUGAAUCACAGGCACAUUUUUCUGGUGUAUGAAGCUAAAUGUGGGGAAGGACGUUAAUGAGAGCUGGUCCACAACGAUCUCUUUCAAACCGGAAUUGCUCGGUGCUGAUGAUCUCCACCUGAGCUAGGGAGCCCCCACCUGAAAGGAGAUAGCACAUUCUCAAGCUUCUCAGACUCAGGUGCUGGCUCUCUGUUGACUCUGCAGCUCCACCCUUUCCUCCAGUAGGUGAGUCAUGGCGCUGGGCGGCAGUGUCUGAGGUCUGAGAGCAAAGGCAGAGACGACUCUUUUGGGGGCUUGCAACUGUCCAUUGCAGCGAGGAGUCCUUUUUUUUUUUUUUUUUUUGAAGACGGAGUUUCGCUCUUGUUACCCAGGCUGGAGUGCAAUGGCUCGAUCUCGGCUCACCGCAACCUCCGCCUCCUGGGUUCAGGCAAUUCUCCUGCCUCAGCCUCCUGAGUAGCUGGGAUUACAGGCACGCACCACCAUGCCCAGCUAAUUUUUUGUAUCUUUAGUAGAGACGGGGUUUCACCAUGCUGACCAGGAUGGUCUCGAUCUCUUAACCUCGUGAUCCACCCGCCUUGGCCUCCCAAAGUGCUGGGAUUACAGGCUUGAGCCACCGCGCCCGGCCAGGAGUCCUUUUAAUCUCACCCUUGAGGGUACAUCUAUCAGAGCUUUUGUCUGUUUUACAACUUCCUCCUAAACCUAGAACAAUGGAUUUAGAAAAGGGCAGGAAAUCUGUGAGUGUCUACCCCAGGGAAGGGGGCAUGAGUAGCAUGGUUGCCUGGUGUCUGUUAGGUUAUGUCAUUUAAUACGGGCUGGGGUUUGUGGGUUUGAAAACUGAGAAAUUUCAAGAGGAUCUCACCUCAAGUGCCUUCAAAAUUCCCAUGGGAGCAGGAUCAUUUUGAGAGGCUAGCAAAAAAUAUAUAGGAGAGAAAAAAGAAGUGAAAGAAAGAAAAUAACAAUAAAGUAUAUAGCGGAAGUGGCUCAGGUUAGCCAAAAGUUAGGGGUUUAAGAACAUGAAAAAACCCCAAGGGAGACCUCAUUAAAGAGUGAGGUUUUAUUAAGGAAUUUGGUUUUAGUGCUAAAACCGGAAGGGGUUUGACAGAAGAGGAGAAAAAAGAUGGGAUUAAUGCUGGCAUGAUUAAGCAUCAACUACGGAUUUAUGGGUUGGAUACGAAGGGCAGCAGCUGCGCAGUAACUUUAAUAGCACUUUGGACUUUAUAACAUUCUCUUCUCACAUUUCCAUUUAUUUCAUCCUCAAAGCCACAUUCUGAGGUAGGCAUUAUUCCCAUUUUGUGGACGAAUAAAAUGAGGCUCAAUAAGGUCAGUACUUUGUUUCAAGUCUCCUACCUGGUCCGCUUUGGAGCUGGAAUAUGGAUUCAGGUCUUCUAAUGCAUCAUGCAUCCUAAUAUUCUCUCACCCAUCACAAUUACGAAAGCCCGUCAGCCUUUAUUAUCCCACUCUAUAUUCAUAAUGACACAGUAGCAUAGAUAUGUUUAUGUCUAUUCUGGCUAAACGGCAAUGAUAUUUACCACGUACUGACUAUCCCUUAUGGUUUGCCAGGAAUAAAGAGGGCCCUGAGUUCUCCAUAGAUAUGAUCUCUUUUGACUCCUUACACAAUCCCAUGAUCCUCCAUUUUAAAGGUGGGGAAACCAAGGGCUGGAGAGGCUGGAAUAUUUGCCCAAAGCUCUCCAGCUGUGGAACUCCAGCCUGAGUUCUCACUCCAGAGCCAUUUGUCAUCAGUCUGCUGAGUCAGUCUACACAGAAUGGUGCUGAACCUUGAGUCCAGGCUUCCCAGGCUUCCUACAUCCAGCUCACUGGAUUACACUUUUUUUUUUAAUUUAUUUUUUUUAAGACAAAGGGUCUUGCUUGUUUGCCUAGGCUAGAGUGCAGUGGUGCCGUCAUAGUUCACUGCAGCCUCCAACUCCUGGGCUUAAGCCAUCCUCCCUCCUCAGCCUCCAGAGUAGCUGAGACCACAGGUGUCUACCACCAUGCCCAUUUAAUUUUUUAACUUUUAUUUUUGUAGAAACAGGGGUCUUGGAUUGCUGCCCUGACUGGUCUUGAACUCUUGGCCUCAAGUAAUCCUCCCACGGCAGCUAUCAGAAUUAUACUCAUUUAAUGAACACUAAGUGAGUUCCUCUUAGUGCUAGGCAUGUUGCUAAGUGAUAAGGAGGAAAAUUUGCACAGAAGAUGUUUCUGUGCUCCGACAGCUCUCAGAAUAAUAGAAAGUACCACGGCACCAUUCACACUGUAUGACAUUCACACUAUGUGUGACCGUGGUGUGUGUGGCGUCCUGGGUGCCUGGGGUCACUGGCACACCACUGCGUGGAAGUGUGUUUCUGAGAGGCAAAGGCAUAGUCAUAGUCAGGCCUGCUUGCCCAGGAGGCACAGUGCUGAGGGCCCAAGGUACUUGGAGGAGUCCACAAAAGUGUUUUUAUUUCUUUUAAAAUCAGAGGAAAAGAAGUAAAUUUUUAGGCUGAAGUCUUUGUGUUUUCACAUGUCAGAUUCAUAUAUUUGUCUUUAUGCCAAUGUGGCUACAAAUUAUAAUUUAUACGUGUACAUUAUUUUCUUUUUUGGUGGAGGAAAAGUCGAGGAAGACAGAAAUGCCCAAGGGCCCACUAGAGUCCUAACACACCCCGAAUACAGGAAUUUACUGGGAGGCAAAGCUCCUUCCUGGAUUCUGGACCUGGUUUCAUUAUAUGCUGUGGGACUGGUGGCGUGGGCUUCGUGCUCCUUCAGUCCGACUUCCAGGUUCAUCAGGAGCUUUAACUUCAGGCAGCGCUCAGAGAGAACAAUUUUUUGUGUUUUGAGACAGGGUCUCACUCACUCCAUCACCCAGGCUGGAGUACAGUGGUUUUAUCUUGGCUCACUUCAGCGUCAACCUCCUGGUCUCAAGGAAUCUUCCCACCUCAGCCUCCCUGAAGCAGGAGGGCCACAAACAAACCUCUCGAACACUGAACAGGGAAGGAAGUGGUAAUUUUAUUCUGCAGGGAGUUGCAGUGGCAUAGGUGCCUCAACAACCAAGCUCCCUGACAAAGAUAACCCUGGCCUUUUAAAGGCUCACAGUCUAAGAGGUGCACAUGUGAGAGGGUCAAGAGCAUGGGGGACCUGACUUAGGUGGGAGGGUCUAAUCAUGAUUAAGCAAGAGCAGUACCUUCCAGGGAAAAUCCUCCAUAUCGUAUCUGUGAUCUAUAUAGAUGGGAUUGUGGUUAGCAGUAGGGGGUUUAAUCUUUUGGACCUGGCCAGCGGCGCCAACCGGUCUCUCCUCUGGCUGACUUUUAACUUCUCUUUUUGAGUUGCAAUGUCGAAGUCUAAAAGGGAAAUGGAAUGGCCUUAUAAGCUCAAAAGGAGAGGGUCUCCCUCCUCAUCCCCCUCUUUGAGAACUUCGCCUGUAACGUUAGUGAGAGUUCUCACUCUCAUUCUCAUUUUCCCGAUCCUCUAAAGAAACUGAUUGAUAAUGAUUCACAUAAUAUACUGUGAUGUGGUUCUCUAGUUAACCACAGCAGUGAUGAAUCCUCUGAUCAUCUGAAGGAAUAGGGGGAGAAAACAAGGGAGUAGCAAGCAAACACCUAUUAUUAUUACAGCACUUGUGAUGAGAGUCUUGAAUCCUCCCAAGGAUGAGAUCCAACCUCCAAACGAGGACUCAGGGUUAAAUCCGCAUCAUACCUGCACAGGCACGUGUGCCAGCUUGGUCGUGUCUCUGACAAUAUCCUCCACUGCUUGACCCUGGUCCUCUAUGUGUAGGCAGCAGUUGGUUAGAUUGAAUUUUCCACAGUCUCCUCCUUCAGCUGCUAGCAAAUAAUCUAAGGCCAGCCAGUUCUGAUAAAUCACAUUUCUCAUUUGAGUUUCUUGUCAGGCCAAAAGGGACAGAGCUUUGCCUGUUUCAUUAGUGAGUAUUUCCAAGACAGCCUGCAACCAGAUGAUCCGGUGGAGCAUGUAAAUAAAGUCUGCUAUCCCCAUGAGCCAUCCUCAGCCAUGUGGCCAGCCCAUAAUACUCAAUAAUUCUCUCCGGUGGCCACUCAUCAUCUUUCCAUUCACCUAUCUUUAGACUUCUUUUCUCCCGGGCAGAGUAGACUGGAUAUCCUAACAGCUCACCUGUCUUAACAGGUAAUAGGAAAAAAGAAGGCUUAAGUGCCUAUGACACAGCUACCUGUCCAUAUUUCAGGCAGUUGUACAUACGUUCUAUGUCACAUAUCCAGUACAACCCAGCUGGGACUGUCCAGUCUCUCUGAUACCCAGGAUGGUUCCAAGCAUCCUGUAGUUUUGGGAAUUUUAGGAGGGGUUUUUUUUCUGUGUAAUUUGAACUCCAUCAGGUUACAGUACCCACUGUUUCAUUACACAAUUGUUGCCCUAAGCAGCUAAGCUUUCCUACUGGAAUAGUGAAGUCUUUUCCUUCUCUGGUCAAACAGUAUUGUCCAAUAAUGGAAACCUUUAAAACCCAAACACUGUUGGUUUGAAUUCUUUGAACUGAGGUUAGGUCAGGGACAGGGUCAGAGGGUACUAACUCACGAGCUUCCCAUGGCCACUGAUCACCCACAGAGUAGUUCCUCCACAAACAUAGCAAGAAGUGACAUUAAAGGAAUGGGCUACAUUUUCAGACAGUUGGAGGCACAAGUUCUUUGACUUUUUCAGAAGCUGCAGCACUGGCUCAUUUAAUAUAUCAUAGAAAGUCUGGUACACUGGCUGGGAGGAGCAUUUUUGGAUCUGGAUACUGACUCCAGGAUCAAGUCCUUUUCCAUCAAUUCCUAACUUUACACUCACCCCAUUUUCCCUUUUGGGUUCUUGGGGGUUUGUGAUUAUCAAUUCUACCAGGUUGCAAUGUCUGGAGAGGCAGGAGACUACCCCAUGGAAUGGUGUCCCUCCUUUUUACAAGACGAAUGGGAUCAUUUUUAUCAUCUUUCUGAGUGGCCCAGAUAAUGGGUAAUCAAUAAAUGCAUUCACUGCACCAGGAGGUUUUCUGGCAGAUGUACUUAUGCUCGUUUGCAUAACUUUGUUCCCAUCCGAGGGACCCACAGCCCCCCAUCUGGAAUGACAGGCACUGAUGGCUGCACAGGCAUCAAACGUUAGGGUGACCUGCUUUGGGCUUCCCUUCUCCUCUGUUUUAGCUAUUAACUUAGUCAGGCUGUUCCAUCGCCCCAUUAUGAGUUUAAUUUCAAAAGUCAUAUGUGUAGGGGGUUCUGAUGGACUACAGCAGACAUCAGGCUGUCCAUCCCCUGGAUUACACGCCUUAUACUGAGUACCGUUAUAUAAACAGGUUCCCUUCUGUGUCUCUGCACAUUCAUAACUGUAGAACAAAAGAAUGGCAGUAACUUUCUGUCCUACCUCAGUAACCUGGUGCAUACACUGAGAGCAUUCUCCAAAAUCAGCUAAUGUUCCUACUGUGUAAGUCCAAAUUUUAAGAAGAAUAAGUCCCACAAUGAGUUUUGUCAUGCUUCAGCCAUGUGUGGACCAGCCAGCUUCUGGGACGCAGCUGGAGCAGGGCUCGUUGUCCUUCUCAAGGUGAUUCCACAGCCGUUGUCUGGGACUGGUCUAGCUUCCCAAGUUUCAGCUGCUGCCAGCUUGAUGCAGUUGUGGUGGACCCAGGCUGGGACUCCCUCUACCUUUAUGGCUGUGGGAGUGGGCAGGAUCACAGUCCAGGGUCCUUUCCAUCAUGGCUUCAGAGGGACGACAUUCCAAUCCUUUAUCCACACUAGAUCACCUGGUGAGGAAGGGUGAGCUGGGGAGAAUAAGCUUACAGGGCAUCUUUCAUUUACCCAGGUUGAAAUAUCCUGAGUGAUUUUUCCUAGAGCUUGUAACUGUCAUCCUCAAUCUCUCCCCACUCCUGAGGAGUUCCUGGGAGUGCCCACAGUAUGGGAAGGGGCCUAUGAUAUAAGACUUCAUAGGGGGAGUAUCCUGUUUUCUUAGAGGGAGUACAUCUAAUUUUGAAUAACACCAAGGGAAGUGCCUGCACCCAUUUUAAUCCUGUUUCCUGACACAUUUUCCCUAAGCUAUUCUUAAUGGCCUGGUUCAUCUGCUCCACCCUUCUGAAACUCCCUGGUCGGUAGGCGGCGUGCAGCUUCCAAGUGAUACCCAAUGCCAUUACUGUUUUCCAGACCAAAUCAGCCACAAAUGCUUAUCCAUUCUCUGAGCUGAUGUGCAGUGGCAGUCCAAACCUGGGGAUGAGAUCUCAAAGAAGCACAUGGGUUACUUCAUGGGCCUUUUCAGUCCUAGUCGGGAAGGCCUCUACCCACCCAGAAUACGUGCACACCAGGACCAACAAAUACUUAUGGGCAUUUCAGUGAAAUCUACCUGGAGAUCUUCAAAUGGAGCUGCUCCAUAAGCUUGACUGCCAGGGAGAAUAGUUGGACCUUGCCUUGCGUUGUGCUGCCGGCAGGUAAUGCAUCGCUGCACCACAGUUUUGGUCAGGGCCGAUAAAUGUGAAAUGUAAGAAUACUAGCCUAAUAACUUCUCAAGUGACUCUCGGCCUAAAUGAGUGGUUUCAUGUACGGUCUGUACAACCGUGGCCCCUAAUACUUGCAGCACCGCUAUUCUUCCGUCUGGUAGCCAGAUCCAUCCCUCUUUAAUUGUUUGCCCUCCCUCUGCUUGGAGAAAGUCCUUUUCCUCCUUAGAAUAAGUGGGCACCAAGUCAGGUAUCUGGAGAAUUAGAGGAGCUGUAACUGCUGCUUGGUAGGGAACAGAUGCUGCCUAUGAGCUGCUGAAACAGCUCAGGCAUUUCCCAGGGCCACGGAGGUGUGGGCCCACUGAUGUCCUUGGCAGCGCACAACUGCUACCCUUCAGGGCCUCCAGACUGCUUCUAACAACUGCAGGAUUUCAUGUCGGUACUUUAUUACUUUCCCACUGAAUUUAACGUCUUUUUUCUUUGUAUAGUGCCCCAUGGACUUGAAGAGUUAGAAAGCCACACCAGGAACCAGUGUAAAUGUUCACAGCCUUACCUUCACUCAGUUCUGGGGCUCAGGUCAGAGCAGUAAGUUCAACCUUCUGAGCUGAAGUACCCUGAGCCAGUGCAUGGCCUUGAUUACGGUGUCCAGAGUUACUGCUGCAUAGCCUGCACACCUUACUCCUUGUACAUUAACAAAACUGCUUCCAUCCACAUACAACUCCCAGUCUACUACCAUCCAUGGUUGAUCCCGAAGAUUGGGCCUACUGGAAUAAACUGAGUCCAAUACUUCAACACAGUCGUGUUCAACUGGGCUUUCUGACACCAGGAGCAAAGUGAUGGGGUUUAAGGUAUUGCAGACAUCAAUGGUGGUUUGGGGAUUCUCACGUAGCAGGCUCUGGUAUUUGGUUAACCUAGCAUUUGUCAACCAAUGAUGUCCUUUGGUAUUCAUUAGAGUGCUUUGAUAUUUAAGUUUUGCCCCAGAGUUAGCUUAUCAGCUUCUUGUGCUAGCAGAGCAGUUGCUGCCAGGGCCCUUAAACAUGGGGGCUAUCCCUAGGAAACUCCAUCCAGCUGCUUGGAGAGAUAAGCUGCAGGCCUGGUCCAAGGUCCCACUGUUUGUGUUAGAACUCCAGCUGCCAUUUUUUUUUUUCUCUUUCUGACACAUACAACCUGAAGGACUUUGUUAAAUCAGGUAACCCCAAAGCCGGGGCUGACAUAAGUUUCACGCUCAGUUCCUGAAAGGCCUCCCACUGCUGGGAUCCCCCUUCAAAGGGUUCCUUGUCUCCCCACUUUGUAACUUCAUAUAGGAGUUUGGCCAGUUCUGUGAAGUUUGGAAUCCACAACCUACAGAAACUCACAGCUCCCAGAAACUCUCUUACCUGCCUUCUAGUCUCGGGUUCUGGCAGGUUGCAAAUGACUUGUUUCCACUCUGCUCCUAGACUGCGCUCUCCCUGCCAGAUGGUGAACCCCAGAUAUUGCACUUGCUGUCAGCAAAUCUGGGCUUUUCUUUUAGAUAUGUUAUACCCACAGUCCUCCAGGUGCCAAAGUAAGGCAUCUGUUCCUUUUGCAUACCCCACUGCAGUGGGGUGUUCCAAUAAAAGGUCAUCAGCAUGUUGGAGCAACAUGCAGCCUAAGCCCUUAGCAGGAAAUGUCUGGAGGUCAUGGACUAGUGCCUCCCCAAGAUGGUGGGAGAGUUCUUGAACCCCUGGGAUAGCCAGGUCCAGGCAGACUGGGUGGUUACACCUGUUUCUGGAUUUUUCCACUGAAAAGCAAAUAGUUUCUGACUCUUUGAGGCCAGUCUAAUGCUAAAGAAAGUAUCCUUUAAGUCCAAGCAGGUGAACCAACUAUCUUCUGCUGGCAAUAAUCCCAACAGUGUGUAUGGGUUGGGUACAGUUGGGUGCAAAGUCACUGUAGUCUGAUUAACCAAACACAAGUCCUGCACUGGCCUGUAGUCUUUGGUCCCUGGUUUAGGAACAGGCAAGAGGGGGUGUUCCAUGGAGACCGGCAAGGAACUAUAAUUCCAAAAGCCUUCAGGCAUCUGAGAUGGACUAGGAUGCCUUCGAGAGCUUCCCUUGGGACCAGAUACUGUCUCUGAUGGGUAAUGACCCUGGCUUUACUUCCAUAGUCACUGGGGCUUGGUUUACUGCCAGUCCUGGGGGGUCGUUCUCUGCCCAGACCUGUGGCCAUCACCUGGAUAGAGCAGGGGUUAAUUCUCGUCCCUUGGGAGGGACUGUGAGAGCCAUGAUAAUCCCUGUCUGAGGCAGUUUUAGCUGCAGGGAGCCCUUAUCAGAGAAGGUGAUAGUAGCACUUAGUUUGCUUAGCAAGUCUCUCCCCAAGAGGGGUAGGGGCGGUCCAGCAUGUACAAGAACUGAUAUAUAAUCUCAUGGCCUCCUACCAAACAUGUCCGUGGUAGGCAAAAGGUCUGCUUUUCCAAAAUUCCAAUUAUGUCUAUUGUCUUGCCCCAAUUAUGUCUAUUGUCUUGCUGGACAGAGGGGCCAUGGGUUGCAUCACCACCGAGUGUUAUGCCCCAGUGUCGACUAAGAAAUCAAUGUCCUUGACCAUGCGCUCUUUGGGGGCAAUUGAGCCUGGUCCCCUUCAGUCCAGUGGCCCUUGCAUUAGAUUGAACAGAGCUCCUUCACUUUCAUCUGAAGUCUCGGGCUUGAGAUCUCCCUGUUUUCCUGUCAACUGGGUGCACUUGUCCUUCCAGUGUCACACUUCCUUACAGUAAGCACACUGGUCACGCUGCAGGCACCCCCCUCUUGCCUGUUCCCAAACUGAGGACUAAAGACUGUAGGCCAGUACAGGACUUGCACCAGCAGAGAAUAGACUGGGUAGCUUUCCAGAAGCCCCCUUUCCCUGCCCUUUUGGGGGUUCUCCUGAGCUUGGCACUCCAUUGAGCUUGAUGCUUGUUUUCUCUAUGACUUUCUCUACAGCUUACCACAUCUCUGUUCAUAAAUACCUGGUUAGCUAUGUCCAGUAACGGAGAAGUAUUAAUGCCUGUAAAUCCUGCCUGCUUCUGUGGCUUUCUCUUAAUGUCUUCUGCACACUGACUGACUAAUGCCAUAUUUACCAUGUGCUGGUUUUCGGGGCUCUCAGGAUCAAAAGUAGUAUAUAUGCAAUAGGUUUCACACAGCCUCUCACAGAACUGUGCCAGGCUUUCCUCUUUUCCUCGAAUAGCCUCAGACUUUACUGAUGUUCGUAAGUUUCUGGGCUCCCUUUUUCAAUCCUUCCAGUAAGGCCUCCUCUGUACCAGAUUAGCCUUUGCAUGCCCUCCAGGGUGUUUGGAUCCCACUGGGGAUCAGUCCCCAGUAGCUAGGCCUGACAUACUCUUGGGGUUUUGGUAAUCUACGGGAACAUGCUCCUUUAACCCUUUGGAAGCGGCUUGGAGUACUCUCCACCUUUCAUCAGUGUUAAAAAGAUACAUAAGCAUCUGGUGGCAGUCAGCCCAAGUGGGGUUAUGAGUCUGGACAAUAGUUUGCAGUAGGUCAAUGAGAGCUUCAGGCUUCUCAAUAUAAGAUGGGCUGUUAUUUUUCCAGUCGAUGAGAUCAGCUGACGUGAAUGGCAGGCACGUGAAAACACAUCUUUCCACUAUGUGGCCAUCCUCAUCCACUCCCAAAUACCUCUGCUCUCUUAAAGGCAUCUGCACCCCUGCCUUGGGUAGCAGACGGGCUGCUAGAGGGGGAGUUCCUCCCAGGAGGCAGGUGGCUGUGGAACGAAUCUCUCCGCAUUCAUUCUUGUCUAGUUUAGGGGUGUGCAAUUCUAGCGGGGGUGCUGAGGUUUCAGGCCCAGGCCUAUCCUUCCUCCUGAUAAGGGGGAGGUAUCGUUGGCAAAGGCUCUUCUGCUGGUAGAUCUGUCAGGACCUUAGGAGUCUGCGUACCUCGGUGGGUGGAGCGGGGUUUCUCCCUAGCUGCCUGCCCCUUUGCCAUCAGUAUGGUUGCUGCCUGUCCUCUUAGCCACUGUGGGUGAUUUAGAAUGAGCUGCAGCCAUGGGUCUAUAUACAGAAAUUGAUCAGGGUGUCCCGGCUUGCAUGUAACCUUAUGCCAUACUUUGGUGACGAGAGACCUGUCUAAGCUUCCCUCUGAGGGGCAAUCCACCCCAGAGGCUGGUCAGUCUACCUCACACAAGGUCCUCAGCUUUCCUGGUGUCAUAGUCACGCCAUAAUCUCCACCAAAUCCCUUCUUGAAAUUUUUCAGCAUGGUCCCCAGAGGAGUAGGCUUGCUAUGAAUGUGACCCAUGUUUUUUUGCACAGAAACAGCACUCACAGGCAGUGAAGAGAGCCGCACUCCACCCUCAGUUUCUCUCGCCCUGCACAGCACGACACAUUCUCUUUCAUUUUCACUUCAGGCCAGUAGGUGAGUCUCCCUCUCAGGAGUGUUUCAGAUGCUGCUUGGCAUUGGAGAGUUCAUUACUCCCCCCACAAUAUCUGGGUUGGGAGGGCACCUUUUUCUACCUGUAUGUGGAUUGCCCCUAAUCCCAGCUGGCCUCACAGUGUGCCUGGAGCUUACAGUCUCCUCUAAUGGACUUGCCACUUCCACAUUUCAUGGCUGAUGAGUCUAAUUGGAUGCCUCCAAUCACUCACACAAUCAUACACCACCCACCACCCAAACUGAAACCAAAAACAAGACUUCCAAGGUUAGUUACAGAGAGAGAGAAAGAGCCAAGUUCUGGAGUGCCAAUUUCGGCACGUAUGGGUGAUCAGGCCACCCUUCCACCUAAAGGAGAUGGGCAAGUUUCCCAGGACUGGUCCUACCGUGUUUCUGUCGUCAGACACUUCAGGUACCUGUUCCUUCUCAGUGUUUAGCCAGUGUGUGAAUCCACUAUGGGGGCCUACCCUGCUUUGUUCUGGCGAGGCGUUCCACUGGGGCCAGUGCCUGCCGGGGAGCACUCUCAGGACUUGUGUCGCCCAAGUGGGCUGGAGUCCCCUGAGGGGAUGCCCUGCAGGGCAAGGCAACACUGCCUGGGAGGCUGUCCCUGCUGUCUGCCAACCAAAACUUGCUUCCUGAGUAGCUGUGACCACAGGUACAUGUCACCAUGCCUGGCUAAUUUUUUGUAUAUUUAGUAGAAAUAUGGUUUUGCCAUGUUGCCAAGGCUGGUCUUGAACUCCUGAGCUCAAGUGAUACUCCUGCCUCAGCAUUCCAAAGUGCUAGAAUUAUAGGCAUGAACCACUGCAUCUAGCCGAGAGCAAUUUUUAAUAGCAACAGUGAUGGUAAUGAUGGGAGCUCCAUACCAAGUGCUAGGCACUGCACUGACAGCAUUCCGGUCAUUAUCUGUUCAGCACUUGCUAGGUUUCGGGUGUUUUCAUAAUAUUUCACAGCUGCAAUAGGCUGUACUGCAGGGCCUGGCUUUGUGCAUGGGGGUUGAGAAGGAGAGCCCUGCAUACC